AGAGGAAAAGGUAGAGUAUAAGGCUGUAUUCCACGACUUUUUUUUAGGGGCCUCCAGAUUCAUUAUUCAUUUACCGGACAUUUCUCAUGGGGUGCUCCAUUUAUCUUGCUCCAAGAAAAGAUUAUGGAGGAAUCAAAGAAGCGGGAGCGGAGGGAUUCAAACAGGUUGUUGAAUGAGAUCAACCAGCUGGAGAGUUGUUCUUGCCUAGCAGCCUUCAGCUUUACAUCGAUGAUAACUAUAACUUAGAGUUUUUAUCAGAAAGCUUCUAGUCACUUGAACUCAGAUGUGAUCUUAAAUCCUGGGAACAACAGGUAUCCUCUACUUGAUUCUAAGGGAAAUUUGAUUGGAAUUGACGCAGCAAUAUUUACUCAUACAGGUAGAGGCCGAUCACUCGCAAAUUCAUACUGGUGAAGGAGUUUUUGGAAAAUAUGUCUUGUUGGAGCUGGUCCUGAUGGGAAACACAGCCAUGGAAGCAGUCACAAUAGUUCUCAAUCUACCUCCAUCACUACCUGGUUCAACGUCAAGAGUUACAUUGAUUGAUAGGGUAUCAGCAUCUGAUCCAAAGUCAGCUUUAGCAUUACAGAGAUCAAUCUAGGUAGAUGUAUGGUUUCUUGGAGAAAAUGCCAAUUAUGCUGUUUCUGAACCCACGGAACUGCAUUGAUGAUGUUAGAUGUAGAUAAAAUGGUCGCUGCUACAGGUUCUCAUGACCCUACUAUGGCUAGUGCAUAUUUCAGCAUGAUGGAUUAUCUCAGUGGUGUUGUCCGCAAGUCUCAAUCUGAAGGACUCGGGAAAUAUCAGGAGCCUGCCCAACCAAAAGAACCCAUCAAGCCAAAGCACAAAGCCAAACCAAAUAGAGCUCGCUUCAAAAGCAAGGCGCACAAGAAGAAAUUCCCUGGAAACAAGGUAGGCACUAAUCGAGUUGAAGAUGCAAGUAGCAUGGGGGUUGAUAUGGAUAAUCAAGUGGGGAUUAUGCCUUGAUUGACAAACUAAUUGGUAACUGUUAAUCUCUCCCGAGCUGACAAAAAUCCCUUGCCAGAAUUGGACUUCCUUUCUAACUUACCAUGCUGGAAUCCCUGGUAAGACUUGGCAAGCCUGAAGAAACUGAGAAAGUGCCAAAUGAAUCAGAAUCAUUUAGCAACUAUUAUGAUCUUCGGGUACCAAACAUUGGUCUACACUUGUCUCGGAUGUAUGCUUGGACGGUCCAGCUGUAAACUGGUCAAGCAUACAGAACACGGUGAAAUAUGAAUGCUGGUUAUGGAGGUGUUACAGCAGCAGUUAAUUUUAGGAGAUAUCUUUCUGUUAUAAUAGUAUAGCUGUCUUGGGAAGACCAUUCCGGUUUCGUAAUCCUAGAAGGAGUUGCAAUGCCUGUCAAAAGAAAUUCAGAAUAACAGCAGCACCAUCAACACCAUCAGAAAUGCAAUUUCAGCCACACUCCCAGGCCCCACUCCAGCAUGGUCACCUUGGUGCACACCAUUCUCCUUUUAGUGCUAUUUCUUUUAUUUUUCCUUAUGAUCUUAUAUGUUUUGAAUUAGGUUUUCAAACUUCCUUUUUUCCAUUCAAAUAAUCUUGGCUUUUUAAAAUUUCAUCUUUAGAAAAUGAAAAUUUGAUUUGAAUAAACUUUUAGUUGCCGAAUUUCUAGCAUGCAUCUUCUUAUUUUCUCUGAUUUUUUUCACUAAUUUUCUCAUUUUUCUCUUUUUUUUUUUAAUCAUGAAAAUCUUAAUGAUUCCAAAAAUAAUGGAAUUCAUAGCAUCAAUUCAUGCAAAAAUGAAUUGGGCCUUGGUGGGGGUCCGACAUCUAUGAUAUUUUCUUCGAUAACAAUUCAAGAGAUGUUAGUUUGAUGUUCGAUUGACAUUGUCCCACUUUGUGAUACGUCUGAGAUUGUUCAAUACCUAUUGAUGAACUAACCUAGUUUCCCAUUGAAGUGCUAGACUUGCUGCCCAGGUUUGCUCUCUACCUUUCACUUUCAAAAUUCCAUAAAUAUGCAAAUCAUUGUGAGCUAUAUCCAUGUUUGAUGUUGUCCUUGAUUCCUUGAUGUUUAUUUGAUAAAAUGUAUGUUGUGUGCUUUAUUUUUUGAACUAACUGUGAUGUCUUGUGAUAACGCUUGAGAAGUAGUCUAGGUACACCCUAACUCUUCUUUAUGAUUGCGAUUUAAAUUCUUAAUUGACAUGUUAGUGUUAGUAGAAUUUUAAAAUCACCUUAGCCCUUCUUGGUAUCCUAAGUCAAUCCGUUAAUUCUCAUAUUUCUCUCAACCUAAUUAGUAGAGACCUUUUUAAGGCUUAGAGGGGUGCUACCUCUUUGAGGUACCUUCCUAAUAGGUAACCUAAUCCCCGAACCAAGACUCGGGCUUUUCGAAGACAUGCUUUUCUGUGAAAAAGAAUGAUUAAUUUAUUCAGAAGUAAUUCAAGGUAUAGGUCUAGGCUCAAAUAAAUACAACUACUAUUACAAAAUGAAAAGAGAAAUUACCCUAUAAAUCCCUACAAAUCAAGGAUUGCUAUCAAUAUAGUUGACUAUACAUGGGAUUCUAUAUUUACGUACUUUUCUAAACUAAAAAUAAAUCCCAUAAUUGUGUCUUUCUAACACUCCCCCUCAAGCUGGUGAAUAGAUAUUUUCCAUUCCCAGCUUGCUCAUGAUUGCUUGGAAUAUGGUACUUGCUAGCCCUUUUGUUAAAAUAUUUGCUAGUUAACCCCCUAUAGGCACAUAAAGUGUGCAGAUCAAGCCACUAUCUACUUUUUCUUUGACAAAGUAUUUGUCAACCUCAAUAUGUUUUUUCCGAUCAUAUUGCACUGGAUUAUAGGCGAUGCUAAUAGCUGAUUUGUUGUCAUAGUAAAGCCUCAUUGGUUCGUCCCGUCUAAUCUUCAAAUCAUCAAGAAUAAUCUUCAAUCAUAACAACUCACAUACACCAUGUACCAUUGCUCUAAAUUCAGACUCAGCACUAGACCUUGUAACCACAGUUUACUUCUUGCUCCUCCAAGUGACUAGGUUUCCACCAACGAAAGUACAAUAUCCCGAUGUUGACCUCUUGUUUACCACCAAGUCUACAUAGUCUGCAUCUGUGUAGGCUUCAAGGGUUCGUUUAGUUCCCUUUUUGAAGAGAAUACCCUUCCCUGGAGAAGACUUUGGAUAAUGAAAGAUCCUAUGAACAGCUUGUAGAUGAGUCUCCUUCAAGCUAUGCAUGAAUUGGUUUAUGACCCCCACUAUGUAAGCAAUAUUUGGCCUUGUAUAGGAGAGAUAAAUGAGCCUUCCAAUGUGCCUCUAGUGCAUCCCCUUGUCCACGGCCUCGUCUUCACUUGCUUCUGUAGUUAGGUGAUUCUGUUCAAUAGGCAUUUCAACAGGUUUACAAGCGAGUUUCCCUGUCUCUUUCAACAAAUCCAACAUGUAUUUGUGUUGGGAGAUAAAUAUUGCUCUCUUGGAGUAAGCCACUUCAAUUCUAAGAAAGUAUUUAAGCUUGCCAAGGUCUUUGAUCUCAAAUUCAUUUGUCAAUUGACAUCUUAGAGCUUCUCUUUCCUUUAAAUCAUUCCUGGUCACAAUUAUGUCAUCCACAUAAACUAACAAAGUCGUGACUACCCCCAACUUCGAGUGGUUAAUAAAGAGAGUGUGAUCACCUUGACUUUGGUUAUACCCCAUUAUCGUCAUAGCUUUAGAGAAUCUGCCGAACCAAACCCCUAGGGAUUGUUUAAGUUCGUAAAGGGCCUUCUUCAAUUUACACACCCUUUUUUCUCUCAACUCACCUCCAAAACCAGGUGGGAUUUCCAUGUAAAUUUUCUCUUAAAGAUCACCAUAUAAUAAUGCAUUUUUCACAUCAUAUUGAUGCAACUCCCAAUCAUAAUUAGCAACUAGAGACAACAAAAUCAUUACCAUAUUCAUUUUUGCUACGGUGCAAAGGUCUCCUGAUAAUCCACCCCAUAUGUUUGAGUGUAGCCUUUUGAAACUAACCGAGCCUUAUACCUCUCAAGUGAUCCAUCUACCUUAUACUUCAGUAAAGACCGACUUACAUCCCACAAGGCUCUUUCCUUGAGGCAGGUCAACCAAUUUCCAAGUUUUGCUUUUCUCAAGUGUCUCCAUUUACACUCGCAUAGCUUGUUUCCAUUCCUCACUGUUUAGAGCUUUGGAUAGAGUGCUAGGGAUGGAUAUAUGUUUAGUCUCAUGAGGAAGCUUUUAUGAGAAGGUGACAAGUUCUUGUAUGACACAAAAUGAGACAAUGGGUAGAGUGGAUGCUUGGUGAAUUUUGGGUAGAUCAUGGUCAAGACUAUCAAGAGGUGCAAGUGAAUUUUCAGAAGUAGGGUCAGAAAUGGUGUUACCCUUUUUCCCUUUUUUUUUUUUUUUUUUUUUUUUUUUUUUUUUUUUCGGGGCUGGUUCGAACUCGUGGGCUUGUAAGAGGUCAGGAAUGUGUGCAUUCCUCCUUGAAUGCACCUGCAAAGGUCAUGUGGGACCAGGGAUUUCCUUUACCUUAGUCGAAUACUUUGAAUUUUCAUUCAAAGGUUGAGACUCAAGUUCUUAGAUCGGGACAACAUGUGGAUUUGGAGACUCAGACUCUUGAGUUGGACCGGAUUGAGACUUGAGUUGAACAGACCCCAGAAGAAAGCUCCAACAAAAACAAAUCUCGAUCCUUAUCUUCCAUCAAUGAUGUCUCCCCCUAAAGAUAAGGAGUGGGAAAAUAUGGUUCAUUCUCGAAAAAGGUGACAUCAACAAACACACGAAAUUUCCUCGUAGGAGGAUGAUAACAUUUGUAACCUUUUUUAGUAGAGGAAUAUCCCAUAAAGGCAUCUAAUAGCUCUUAAAACAAAUUUUCCCUAGUUUUGAGCAUGAACAUGGACAAAUGAUACACAACCAAAGAUUCGAGGAACAAGGUUAUUGGAGGUAGUGAAGUUCAGGUAGAAUUUAGAAAAGACUUCCAUAGGACUUUUGAACCCCAACACACUCAAAGGUAAUCGGUUUAUAAAGUGGGUAGUUGUGAGGACCUCUCCCCAGUACGUCUUUAGCACAUUGUUUUGAAACAAAAAAGCUCAGGUUGACGCUAGCAAAUGACCAUUCUUCCAUUCAACGACCCCAUUUUGUAAUGGAGUGCUUAAACAAGAAGACUCAUGAAUGAUUCCCUCUUUUUGAAAGUAAGUGGAUAAGACCUAAUUAAAGUAAUCAUGAGCAUUAUUAGACCUAAAUCCUUUUAUUGCCACACCAAACUGAUUUUUUACCAUGCUAUGAAAAAUUGGGAACACAGUAUUGACAUCAGAUUUUUGUUUCAUAAGAUAGAGCUAAGUAACAUGAGUGCAAUCAUCAAUAAAGGAAACAAAUCAACGAGUGCCAAAAACAUUGGGAAUUGUUGAAUAUAAUGUAUUUAUAGUAUAUUAUCUUUCCUUGUUAAUAUAGGUCACAUGUAUGGUAGUUAGGACUCCUAGCCUUGUAUAUAUAUAUCUCUCAAUUGUAAGUAGAAAAUACAUGAAUGAGAAUUAAGGUUUUUCUCCUUUCUCUCUCUCUCUCAACAUGGUAUCAGAGCCAAAGGAGAAAACCUAAUUUUUUUUUCGGUUUAGCCGUGUAAUCAAUUCCAGCGAACUGUCCAGUGACCGUGUUUCACUCCGGUCCCCUCACUUUCUUCCCAAACCACUCCGGACAACCUCAUCGCCGUCGGAUCUCCACCACGCCGGCAACCUUUUCCGGCGAACUUUCCGGCGAACUUUCCCGGCGACGUCUUUUUCCUACACCGACCACACCAAGAGGAGAGCGCCUGGAGGAGAUCUCCAACUUCUUCAAAAGCAUCGGAGCCAAAAAACCCUCCACGCGCUGGCCACGCGCACUUCUCCGGCCGGCGCGUGAGGGCGCGUGAGACCUUUUCCGGCGACGCGCCUCCUCCUCCAGCCUCGCCUGACGCCGACCAGCAUCCCUACCUACCUGGUUUUCCCAUCCGAGCCCUGCACGUACCUCUUUUGGGGAUUUUUGUCUCCGUCAGCCCUCCAAACAGCCUUUCCGGCGAAGUUCCGACUACUUUUUCUCCACCCCAAUCCCUGCACGUGCCUUGGGAAGUGUUCUUCUACCCUUCUGGUGGUACCACGUCGCGAUCUGAGGCCGUCUCCCUUUUUCGGUGGUGCCACGCCGCAAUCUGAAGCCGUAUUAGGGCUCUCUUCGAUCCAAAUACGUGAAUAUGACCACCAACAAUCAGAUCUUUACCUCUGUUAUCUUUGGAUCUCCUAUGAUUACCUCAGAGAAAUUGGUUGGCAGUGAGAAUUAUCGCUCCUGGUCUGCCUCUGUUGAACUUUGGUUUAUGGGUCAAGGAUAUGAGGAUCACUUGGUUACCCAGGAGGUAGAUAUUCCUGAGGUUGACCGCGUACAGUGGAGGAAGAUAGAUGCACAGUUAUGUAGUGUAUUAUGGCAAUCGGUUGAUCCCAGGAUUCUUCUUCAUCUUCAGGCCUAUAAAACUUGUUUUAAAUUUUAGACUCAGGCCAAAGGAUUAUACACAAAUGAUAUCCAGCGUCUUUAUAAGGUGGCUUCUGCUAUUGUCCAUCUCAGCCAACAGGACUUGGAUCUAUCUACUUAUAUUGGUCAGAUUGCCUCUCUUAAGGAGGAGUUCUUGACUGUGAUGCCUCUUACUCCUGAUGUUGGGGCUCAACAAACACAGCUUGACAAGUUCUUCAUGGUCCUACCCUUAUUGGCCUCCGUCCGGAUCUUGAGUCUAUUCGUGAUCAGAUUCUUGGAAGUUCAUCAGUUCCGUCCUUGGAUGAUGUGUUUGCUCGCCUCCUCCGUAUCUCGUCCACUCAGACUUUGCCAUCUGAUAGCGCUUCAGAUUCUUCUGUGUUAGUUUCUCAAACUACCUCUCGAGGAGGACGCAGUGGUACCCGAGGUAGAGGCCAACGUCCUCAUUGCACCUAUUGCAAUAAACUUGGCCACACUCGCGAUCGUUGCUAUCAGUUACAUGGAAGACCUCCUCGCACUGCCCAUAUGGCCCAGUCCUCUGAUUCUCCGCUGCCUCAGCCUCCGAGCUCCUCCGCAUCUCAGACAUCUCAGGCUUCUAUUGCCUCUGUUGCCCAGCCUGGUAAUGCCUCUGCCUGCCUUACCCACACAUCUUCUCUUGGACCCUGGAUUCUAGAUUCUGGAGCAUCUGAUCACCUAUCUGGUAAUAAGGAUCUUUUCUCCUCUAUUACUACUACCUCUGAUUUACCUACUGUUACCUUAGCUAAUGGUUCUCAGACUGUGGCUAAAGGUAUUGGUUUGGCCCUUCCUCUGCCUUCUCUACCUCUCACUUCUGUCCUUUAUACUCCUGAAUGUCCUUUUAAUCUUAUUUCCAUCAGCAAAAUCACUCGUACUCUUAAUUGCUCUAUUACCUUUUCUGAUAAAUUUGUGACCUUGCAGGACCGGAGUACGGGGAAGACGAUUGGCAUAGGACGUGAGUCUCAAGGCCUCUAUCACCUCACCUCAGAUUCAUCUCCUGCAGUUUGCAUUUCCACUGAUGCUCCUCUCCUCAUUCACAAUCGUCUGGGCCACCCUAGUCUCUCCAAGUUCCAGAAGAUGGUUCCUCGUUUUACCACUUUGUCGUCGCUUCCGUGUGAGUCAUGUCAGCUUGGGAAACAUACUCGUGUCUCGUUCCCAAAGCGUUUGAAUAAUCGGGCAAAGUCUCCUUUUGAGCUUGUCCACACUGAUGUUUGGGGUCCUUGUUGGACUGCGUCUACUUUAGGAUUUCAGUAUUUUGUCACUUUCAUUGAUGACUAUUCUCGAUGUACUUGGUUAUUUUUAAUGAAAAAUCGAGCUGAGUUAUUCUCUAUUUUCCAGAAAUUUUAUACUGAAAUCCAAACCCAUUUCAAUAUUUCUAUUCGUGUGUUACGCAGUGACAAUGCCUGGGAAUAUUUUUCAGCCCAAUUUACUUCGUUUAUGUCUCAUCAUGGAAUUCUUCAUCAGUCUUCUUGUGCUCAUACUCCUCAACAAAAUGGGGUAGCUGAACGCAAGAAUCGACAUCUUGUUGAGACAGCUCGUACUCUCCUCCUCCAUAGUCACGUUCCUUUUCGUUUUUGGGGGGACGCUGUUCUUACCGCUUGUUAUUUGAUUAAUCGUAUGCCCUCCUCUGUCUUACACGAUCAGAUUCCUCACUCCCUUCUCUUCCCUGACCAACCACUUUAUUUCCUUCCUCCUCGUGUCUUUGGUUGUACUUGCUUUGUUCAUAUUCUCACUCCUGGACAGGACAAGCUUUCCGCCAAAGCCAUGAAGUGCCUCUUCUUGGGAUAUUCCAGACUUCAGAAGGGUUAUCGUUGUUAUUCCCUUGAGACUCAUAGAUACUUUAUCUCCGCUGAUGUCACCUUCUUUGAGGACUCACCAUUCUUUUCCACCACUUCUGAGUCUCUUCCUGUUUCUGAAGUUUUGCCCAUUCCCAUUGUCUCCCCACCUGAUGCUAUGCCCCCUCGACCACUUCAGGUUUAUCAUCGUCGCCCUCAUGUCGUUGCUCCUCUCCCUUUUCCUGAGGCACCUGCUGACUCACUUCCUAUCCCUUCGGCUUCACCUGCCCCGGCUCUGCCUUCUCCUAAUGACUUACCCAUUGCUGUUCGGAAAGGUACUCGCUCUACUCGUAAUCCUCAUCCUAUUUACAAUUUUUUGAGUUAUCAUCGCUUAUCUUCACCCUAUUCUGCUUUUGUUUCUGCUAUAUCCUCUGUUUCUCUUCCAAAGAGCACCCAUGAAGCUCUUUCCCAUCCAGGCUGGCGACAGGCAAUGGUGGAUGAAAUGGCUGCUCUGCACUCUAAUAGCACUUGGGAUCUUGUUGUUUUACCCUCUGGUAAAUCUACAGUUGGUUGUCGUUGGGUCUAUGCCCUUAAGGUUGGUCCUGAUGGUCAGGUUGAUCGCCUUAAGGCCCGCUUAGUUGCUAAAGGCUAUACUCAAGUUUAUGGUUCUGAUUAUGGUGACACAUUCUCCCCUGUUGCCAAGAUUGCUUCUGUCCGCUUGCUUCUCUCCAUGGCUGCUAUGUGUUCUUGGCCUUUUUAUCAGUUGGAUAUUAAAAAUGCCUUCCUUCAUGGUGAUCUUGCCGAGGAAGUUUAUAUGGAGCAACCUCCUGGUUUUGUUGCUCAGGGGGAGUCUGGUUUAGUGUGCAGGUUACGCCGUUCUCUAUAUGGCUUGAAACAAUCUCCUCGAGCAUGGUUUAGCCAUUUUAGUUCUGUUGUUCAAGAGUUUGGCAUGCUUCGCAGUACAGCAGACCAUUCAGUUUUUUAUCAUCAUAACUCCUUGGGGCAGUGUAUUUAUCUGGUUGUUUAUGUGGACGACAUCGUCAUUACAGGCAGUGAUCAGGAUGGUAUUCAAAAACUAAAGCAACAUCUUUUUACCCACUUUCAGACCAAAGACUUGGGGAAACUCAAGUAUUUCUUGGGAAUUGAGAUAACUCAAUCCAAUUCUGGUGUGGUCCUUUCCCAAAGGAAGUAUGCUUUAGACAUCCUAGAAGAAACCGGUAUGUUAGACUGUAAACCGGUAGACACACCUAUGGAUCCGAAUGUCAAACUUGUACCAGGACAGGGGGAGCCUUUAGGAGACCCUGGGAGAUAUCGACGGCUCGUAGGUAAAUUGAACUAUCUAACCAUUACUCGUCCAGACAUUUCUUUUCCUGUGAGUGUUGUUAGUCAAUUCCUAUAGUCACCAUGUGAUAGCCAUUGGGAUGCCGUAAUCCGUAUUCUUCGAUAUAUCAAAAGUACACCAGGCUAAGGUGUAUUGUACGAGAACAGAGGUCAUACUCAAGUUGUUGGUUACACAGAUGCAGAUUGGGCUGGCUCACCCACAGAUAGACGUUCCACUUCAGGGUACUGUGUUUUUAUUGGAGGUAAUCUAAUAUCUUGGAAGAGUAAGAAACAAGAUGUAGUGGCCAGAUCUAGCGCUGAAGCCGAGUAUCGAGCUAUGGCUUUGGCAACAUGUGAACUCAUAUGGUUGAGACAUCUUCUUCAGGAGUUGAGAUUUGGAAAGGAUGAACAGAUGAAACUCAUCUGUGAUAACCAGGCCACAUUACAUAUUGCAUCCAAUCCAGUCUUUCAUGAAAGGACCAAGCAUAUUGAAGUUGACUGUCAUUUCAUUAGAGAGAAGAUCGCAUCAGGAUGUGUUGCUACAAGUUUUGUUAAUUCAAAUGAUCAACUAGCAGACAUCUUCACUAAAUCUCUCAGAGGUCCUAGGAUUAAAUAUAUUUGUAACAAGCUUGGUGCAUAUGACGUAUAUGCUCCAGCUUGAGGGGGAGUGUUGAAUAUAAUGUAUUUAUAGUAUAUUAUCUUUCCUUGUUAAUAUAGGUCACAUGUAUGGUAGUUAGGACUCCUAGCCUUGUAUAUAUAUAUCUCUCAAUUGUAAGUAGAAAAUACAUGAAUGAGAAUUAAGGUUUUUCUCCUUUCUCUCUCUCUCUCAACAGGAAUAGUAGAGGGACCCUAGAUAUCACUAUGAAUGAACGAGAAUUGAACAAAAGCUCUACUAUUACUGAUGGCGAAAGGUACACAAUGAUGUUUGGAAAAUUCAUAAAUAUCACAAUGAAGACUUUCCACAUAAAUUCCUUUGAACAAUAAUGGGAACAAAAUUGUCAAAGCACUAAAAGACGGAUGACCUAAACUACGAUGAUGUAGCCAAAUUUUAGCUUUAUUGGAAACAAUUUUAGAAAUAAACGACCUAGGUAAAUUAUUCUUAGUCUUACUUGGAUAGCUUGAUGCUUCAAGGUAGUACAACCCAUACUUUUCUCUUGCACGUCCAAUCAUCUUGCCUGAGUCCCAGUCCUGAAAAACACAAUGAGUAUGGUGAAAAAUGACACUACAAUUCAUGUCCUAUGUAAGUUUAUGGAUUGAAACCAAAUUGGUAGACAAUUUAGGAACAUGUAAAACAUUUUUCAACACAAGGGAAUGAUGUAUUUUAAUUUCACCUUGACCGGCAACAAUGGUCAAUGACCCAUCUGCCAAUGCAAUCUUUUUAUUACUAGGACAUGGACUGUAGGUACUAAAUUUGAGGGAAGAAUUUGUCAUGUGUUUUGUUGCUUUUGAGUCAAUGAUCCAAGAGUUUGGAAAAUUAAUAUUUGAAGCACUUAACGCAUGAGAGAUAAGAGACUUACUUGCGAGUGCCAAUGAGUAAGCACCCGAGGGUUUUUCCAAUGUUCCCAACAAGCUUCUCAGUUUCUCAAUCUCUUCUUUGUUAAACUCUCCAGUGUCUUGGGAACUUUCCUCACCUGGUUGAGUAGCAAAAAGAUGAGCCUGCUCCUAAUUACUUUGUUGUUCACCUUUACUGUUUCAGUUCUUUUCAUGGCCUGGUUUUUUUUAUAGUAAUUACACCAAUGAAUAUCUUUGUCAUCUGCUUUGGACAAAUUUGCCUUGCCAUUCCCGUAGUUGGAAACCUGAUUUGAUCCACCAUUGGAAAGCAUUGUCGGAUUCCCGUUCGAGACCAUUAUUGAGCUAUCUGCUGCUUGGGAUUCAAUCAUCAUCCCUGCCUAAGACUUGGCUUCGUUUAUGAUCAUAUUCCACAUUGAGGCUAGCAAGAAACUCAAAGAUUCUCUCUUUCUCCACAAAUCUCUUAAGCAAGGCUACAUCCUCACUGCACAUCAUCUUAAGGCAUUGACAAUGAUGCAAUUCUUGCCAUAGUGUAGACCCUCCAUUUUGUCCCUUUAGCACAUGUCUUUAAGUUCACUUCCAGUGUUCCACAAUGGUCUACUGAUGGCCCAUUACUACUCGUGUAGCUUACCUUUUCUGAGCCACCUCGGAGACUUUAGUUGAGGGGUUUAUCCGGCUCCAUAUUAUGAGCUUGGCUACCCUUCAAGUUUAGAUUAGGCUUCACUUAGGUGCACUUUAGGUUAGACUUAGUUAGGCCCACCAAGUCUCGCUUUAGGCCUGUCUAGGUUCACUUAAGCCCUCUUAGGCACACUUGGCCUAUUAGACUUUUUUUAACGUUUCUUGCAUGACUCACGUAGUCGCAUGACUUACAUGACCCGCAUAGGAUUGACCAUUUUAUUUUAUUAUUUUGUUUUACUUUAUUUAUUUAUUUUAUUUUACUUUAUUCUUUUAUAUGUUGCAACAUUGCUAACUCUUCUUUGGUUUUAUUCUUUCUAUUUUCGUUUUUAUUGUUUGACAAGAGAAUGGGGGUUGUUGAUCAACUCUCACUAAGGCACAUGCACUCAAAGAAUGUAAAAAAAAUAUUUUUGGAGGGAAAAUAGGAUUAAUGUAGCUGCAUACAUAUGGAAAGAGGAGAUCCUACAUAGAAAGAGAGAAGCAUUCUAAUUUUCGGAAAGAAAGGGAAAUAAAAGAAAGGAAAGUGGAUUUCCUUCAGCAGAUUGAAUUUUUGGGAGGCUGAUACAAAUACAUAAAAAAAAUGACGAAUUGAAGAAAGGAAAGGGGGGAUUUUCCUUUUUGGAACAGAUUUAGGUUUUGGGGGCUGAUAUAUAUAUGUGAGAAUGGAUGUUGGAGAGGGAGAUUCUUUGAUUGUCUUGGUGGAAAAGCACACAAGAGUGGGAAAGGGGUGAUUGCAGCCAAGGUUCUUCCAGGUACGUUUCUGGCUAUUCUCGGAAUUCUUACUCAUGUUCGAUUUCUCCAUGUGUUUGUUUCUGAAUAUUAAAUAAACUGUUGAUUGGUGUGGACGUUAAGGGCCACAAGUUGUUCUGCUGAGAUUGGUCGUUUACUUCUUUACCCUAUUUCGAUUUUGAUUAUUUUAUGUGUCAUUGAUGUCUUGAGAAAUAUAUAACUCCAUGCCUGAAUGUGAUCAUGCUCUGUUUUCAUUUAAAUCCUAUUCUGCAUUGUUCCUUCUGUUCUUAGCCCAUGGAUUAAUACUUGAAGUGGGGGGCUAUUUAUGUUUACUGAUCAAUAUCUUCUGCUCUUUCCUUCUCCGAGUUUUGCUUCGUUUUUUUUUAUUUGUUCUAUAUUCCUUUCCCCACACGGUGUUCGAAUCCUUGCCUUUGUAUUUGGGUGUACAUUGGGGAAUGACGGAAGUGUCGAUAUGAGGGAUGAGGUGUGCAGAAAUCCCACUCAAAUGUUGGAUAACUGAUUCCGAGGUAUUGUAGUGGACAGUGGAGACUGGAGGUAGCAUCCCAUUGGCAUCAGAUUUGGCUUUUCUAACCCUAUAGGACUCAAUGGCCCAUACAGAAUCGCAUCUCCUGGAGUUAUCUGCAAGCGUCGAUAUGAGGGAUGAAGUGUGCAGAAAUCCCACUCAAAUAUUGGAUAACUGAUUCCGAGGUAUUGUAGUGGACUGUGGAGACUGGAGGUAGCAUCCCAUUGGCAUCAGAUUUGGCUUUUCUAACCCUAUAGGACUCAAUGGCCCAUACAGAAUCGCAUCUCCUGGAGUUAUCUGCAAGCGUAGUUAAAUGGGUUAAAGUCAAGCUAAUAUAUUCCCUUGCUUUCGAAUCAUCACAUUAUCAUCAGCCAACAUAUUGUUGAGGACAGUAAGAUAUGACGUGAAGAAAGUAAUUCACGCUGGGCUUUUCUUUAGAGAAAUAGAUUCUCCUCCACUCCUUUUAAGGGAGCUUCUGUAAAUGGUAAUGAUCCUAUCUCACGGAUGGCCAACACCACCUUUAUUUAUCCCUUCCAAUUUGUCAAGCGGUUCUGACCACAAGAAUAAUAGUCUCAGAGAAAGCAGUUUGACUUGUAAGGCAGGGCAUCAAGAAACAUAUUCAAGCACAGGAUAUUUUUGUUGGUAAUGUAGUCUGGCUUCGUGAGAAUGAAGAAGUGCCAUGUGAUCUUGUUUUAAUUGGCACCUCUGAUCCACAAAGUGUUUGCUAUGUGGAGACAGCUGCCCUAGAUGGGGAAACCGAUCUUAAGAUGAGGGUUAUAUCCUCUGCUUGCAUGAGUAUAGAUUUUGGGCUAUUGCACAAAACGAAGGGUGUUAUUGAGUGUCCCAUUCCAGAUAAGGACAUUAGAAGAUUUGAUACAAAUCUGCGUUUGUUCCCUCGGUUCAUCAAUAAUGAUCUGUCCUUUAACCAUUAAAAAAAAAAAAAACCAAUUCUUCAGUCAUGCUACUUGCGGAACACAGAGCGGGUUCGUGGGGUCGCUGUUUAUACAGGCAAUGAAACCAAGUUGGAUAUGAGUCGAGGUAUUCCUGAAUCAAAAUUAACAGCUGUAGAUGCCAUGAUUGACAAGCUAAUUGGAGCAAUAUUUGUUUUUCAAAUAUUGGUUGUCAUUGUUCUAGGCACAGCUGGGAAUGUUUGGAAAGAUACAGAAGCAGUAAAGCAAUGGUAUGUUCUAUACUCAAAGGAAGGGCCAUGGGAUGAGCUAUUGGUCAUUCCUCUACGGUUUGAGCUUCUUUGUUCAAUUAUGAUCCCCAUAUCUAUAAAGGUAUCUUUGGAUCUUGUGAGGAGCUUAUAUGCAAAGCUCAUUGAUUGGGAUAACCAAAUGAUUGACCAAGAAACGAGUGUUCCAUCCCAUGCAACAAAUACGGCAAUAAGUGAGGACUUGGGGCAGAUCAAGUAUAUUUUGACUGAUAAAACUGAAACUCUUGCUGAAAAUAGAAUGAUCUUUAGAAGAUGUUGUAUUGGAGGCAUUUUCUAUGGAAAUGAGAGUGGGGAUGCUUCGAAAGAUGUGGAGUUGCUGAAUGCUGUUUCCAGUGGUUCUCCUUAUGACAUUCGAUUUGUUGCAGUUAUGGCAAAGAGCUCAGCACACGCCUGAUGUGGUCUCUCUUCUAUCUGAGAUAUGGAUUGGCACUGGGAAGAAUGAUAGUUGGAUAGGUAUAUGAGCAGCAAAUGUUCCUACAGUUAUUGCUGCAGCUGCUGCAGCGUCAGGAGCAAACUUUAAAUUGACAUACGCCUUCAACUUGGAGGUUCUAAGUACAAGAAUGGUCAGUGCAACAGUUAAGUGCAAUCAUGCUGGGAGAAUUGCAGAAUUCUAGGGAGGUUGAUGAUGUUCAAGACUACAAAUUCACAAACAAUUUAAGGGUUACAGCGGCUGAACCCGAUGAAAUGUGUGGGUGCGACUCCCAAUAUACUAAUAAUGAAUUUCCAGUUCAGUUCGAAGAUUUCUAUAUUCUCUCCCUGGGGAAGAUUGACUCACGACCUUCACAUCAUAAUUCUAGUCUGAUAUGGCUUGUAGGUUAUAAAUCCAGCUGGCAUGAUAAGAUUAUUGGCUCUCUCCUUUUUCGUAUGUGAUGUCUUGGAUGACGGUGAUUCUGGUCCAGUUUUCAAGGUUUGAAGAUUUCUGCUUGCCCUUUCCCAGGUUUCAAGAAGGAUUCAACUCUGGAUAUAUGAGCUUGAUUCCGAUUCCUAUGACGACAUGGCGGCCCAACCUACUUGUACUGAGAAAUCAGAAAAUUAUGAAGAACAUUGUUGUUUGACUAGAAUCAUAGCCAACUUACUGAGAGUCAAUAUGUUCAAUAUUUGGCAAGCAAGGUUCUUGUGGUCAUUUCUGAGUUUGUUGCCGUUUCUGGAAGCAAUUGGGAGGGAUUUGUUCAUUUUUUGUGUGUUUCCUUUGAAGUAGCAAUUGGCAACUUUCUUUCAUCAUCUUUAGCACUUUAAACUACUGGGAAUGAAAUUUCUACUGAGAAGUCAAGUUUUGUUGUUUUUGUAAAACUCAGACUGAAAAAUGCAAAUUGGUCUGCAGUGGCUGGUAUUAUUCGAGUUUUGCACGAUAUAUUGAAAUAUUUGGAGCAAGAAUAUGAUCAACUUGAGAAAAUAUACUUAGAUUCUAUCAGUUCUUGUUUGUCAAAUGUGCCUUGGGAUUCAUUGAAUGAUGUUUGUGUUGGUCAGAAUGGUUACACUCAAGAGAUGCUCGGACGUUUUUAGUCUGAAGAAUGUUCAGCUACCAGAUUCAAGGGCGUGCCUUGACCAAUAUAAUUGGAAAACCUACAGCACCUCUUCCCGCUGCUACUGUCGCCUGUAUUCCAACAGGAGUGUAGGCUGAAGAUAUUGAUGAAAUCGAGUUCAAUAUAUCUCCAAGUGAGAUCACAGCCGUUAUGAAGUAGGUUUAGAGGAACCCAUUGAAAUUGAAAGAUGAGGAAAGAUGAGGAACCUGCAGGUUUCAGUGAGUCAUUAAUUUCAGCAUUUUAAUGAUUCAAGAUAUGAAUAGACAACUCAAAUUGAGAGUUAAAGCAUAGUCUUGCAUUUGAUGAUGAACCUGAUCCUCAGCCAGUUCUUGAUGUUAGAUCAUUGACACAUUAUGGUAAAUCUCAUGAUGGAAAUGCACAUUACUUCAGGAUCACCCUGUUUGUUGCUGCUAUUAGAUCCUAUUACAGUGAAUCUUGCUUGCUUCAUGGUGUGGGAUAGAUGCUAUCUAAGGGGGUGGUAUAACUGAAGAGCAAAUGCUGAAGUGCACAGGAGUAGUAUAACAAGGGCAGUUGCAACUCUGAAACAGAGAAUGCUGUUUGUCAUGAAGAUGAAGCCUUUUUUUUCGGAAACCUUUCCUCUGAGGGUGGUCGGUCUGUAGGAUUUACAGAUAGAUGUGAUCAAACCCCUGCUUCAGUCAAUCCGACUUCCAAUUGCUGCAAUAUGCUAAUUCAAGCUGCUUCAGAAGUAUUGGAUUUCUAAAAGACUCUGCCUUUUCUCUAGAAUGGCACACCUCAAUUUAUGAGGAUGGUUGUAAAAAAGCUUAGUGGGAAGCACAUGGAUAUUUUGCUUUCCAUACUCAAUUGUCAGGGCUGCUAUUCUGAAGACAGGAUUGCUGACAGCAUUACAGGUUUACAUGAGCAGAGGAAGACCGGACACGUCCAUGAACUUUGCUUUGAAUUGCUGCACAAUCUUCUCACACGUCAUGCUUCACUUGAAGAAUACCUUUUCGGGCAAUCACUUUGCAUUCCUGUGAUCUAUCAAGAAGCUGCUUUGGAUGCAGUUUUAACACAAUCUUCUCACACGUCAUGCUUCACUUGAAGAAUACCUUUUCGGGCAAUCACUUUGCAUUCCUGUGAUCUAUCAAGAAGCUGCUUUGGAUGCAGUUUUAACAUUGGAAAUACUGCUGAAAAUGAGGAGAUGGGGUUUGAGAAUAUUUUUUCUGGUAAAAAAAAAAAAAUUUAUGUUCUUUGUAAAUCCUUGCUCAUCCCAAUUUCCAGAUCCUCAUAUCCAUGACCAGGUUACAAGUUAUGUUGCCGUUUAUCCAACUAAUUUAAUUCCUUCGUUACAACAAGGUCAGGCUUCUUCUAAUGAUUUGCAUAUUGACAUUCCUGCAUAUCACACGGCCACAGGCUGCUCUGAUGGUACUUUGAAACUAUGGAGAAGCAACUCUUUUGGAUUAUCAAACCCUCAUUUUCUAUGGGAGCUUGUGGGUAUAUUUGUGGCACAUCAAGGACCCCUCAGUGUGAUAUCUUUGACUGAUUGUGGUUAGAAGAUUGCAACCAUCUGUAUGGCUAGUCAUUUAAGUACUGCCAGCACUCUUUGUAUACGGGAGUCUAUACACCUUACGGGUGCAGGAAGUUUCGUAUUAGAAGAUACCAUUUCUGUGGAUGGAGAUGUCGUUGCUCUAAGUUGGUUAGCAUUAGGAAAUGGUCUGUUACUGCUCGGAGUUUGCAUGCAAAAUGAGUUGCAAGUGUAUGCCCAGAGGCGUUAUGGUGGUCAGACUUUGUUAAGCUCUGGAAAAUCUCUGGAAUUGCGUAUUUGGUUUUGUAUGGCAUCUGCUUGUACUUUCCCUUCUAUUCAUGACUUUCCUUUGGGGGCCCAAGGCCACAGCUGUGGUCAUUCACAAUAACUAUUUUUGUCUGUUUGGUCAAUGGUUGUUAAGUGUGGAUAGGAAAGAUCAGUCUAAUUGCCGCCCAUAAUGUACCAAGGGCAGUCCUGAUUUCAAAUUUGAAGAUGACAGAGGUGUUCUUCCUAUAAUUUCCACCAAAUCUGGCAUUCUUGAUUUCAAAGCAUUAUCAAUGGAAGAUAGUACCGAAGAAUGCAAAUCCAAGCUCCCUAUUAGCAUAAAUAAGAAUGGCCAUCUAUCCAGCAGUUUGUUUGCAGCAAAGACUCGAAUGAAAUAUGAUUCUGGUGUCAAGCUCAGUUUCUGGAGUAUACCAGAAGUUGCAGAGACUAAGAAGAUUGAGUUGGACAGUCUUUCCAAGCGAUCUGCAGGAUUUGUUAAGUUGUCCUAUUGAAGGGCACGGGCAAGUAAUCAGUGAACUUGUUAAAGCAUUAUCUUCAUUUUCAAACCUGGAGUGCAAUUCUUCGAAGAGCAUUUUAUUGCCAGAUAAAAAGCAAAAAGCAAAAAGCAUGAUAGAUGGAGGAAUGGUUCAGUGCCUAGCUAGCAUUCUUGAGUGAUCAAGUUUUCAAGUCUGAUGGUCUGAACAAGAAAAAAAAAAUCCACAGCUUCAAAUGGAAGAUCUGAUGAUCAGUUGAUUGCACCAUUGGCUGCAGAGAUUGGUGGGGUUAAUCAGAAUAGAAGCAGCCAACAGGAAUUCAUGGAUUGCAGCAGGAAUAGAGCAGCAACAACCUCAAAGAAUUUUGCAAAGCGAAGGAAAUCAUUCACUUACAGAUUCAGUCCGAUUAUGGAUGAAAAGUAAAAAUGAGAAGUUUCCUUAGUGAUGAGAGCAGACGAAGAACCUGCAGAUUGCCUAAAUGUUUUCAUGAUUGCUCAUAAAUGUACUUCAGAUUUUCAAGAACUCCUUCAACACAAACCAAUUAUUCCAAUAAUUAUAUGCAGCCAGCUUAGGUAGCAAUAAUCUCCAGCUCAAAUUUAUGAGAUCUAUUGCCCCGAAAAAAGCAGCUGCUUCUUCUUGAGACAUGAACUUUGAUGAAGGUUUAGGCACGAUGAAGUGCAAAGUUGAAAAGUUUGAAGUGGAAAAAAAGUCUUUUCAGGUGAAGUUUGAAGGAUCGAAUGGUGGAACUUGGGUUUCAGUAACAGAAAGGAGCCGUGGUUUUGUUGUAUCAGUAGGAUUUGGAAGGGAGGAGGUGGUUUGGUUAACGGAGCAUUUGAAGAAAGCUGUGGAGUUGGAGAAUACUAGGGGAUUCACACGAAAGUUCAGGGGCGAGAAUAAGAUCCAUUUGAUGGAGAUUUGCUUCAACAAUAGAGGGCGUUUCAUGAAAAUCACCGAGAUUGCCACAAGAAGGAAUCCUUUACUUCUUGUCAUCCCCGAGGGUGAUAAAGGUAGUGGAUGGGAAGUCCUUAGGAGGGCGAUUAUUUCAGUGCAAGAUUAUUCUGAUCAAGUUGGAGAAGAGCGGAAGAAGAUGUUUGGCAAUAAUCAGUUGAGCAAAAGCAGAUAUAGAGGUGGCCGGUCAUAUGCAGAGGUGGUUGCAGAGGAUGGAAUUAGGAGUGGAGUUCCAUUAGCAGCUGGAAAAUGGGCCAGAGCCGUAAUAUGUGAAUGCAAAGAAAAAGUUCAAGACUGGACUGAUGAAGGCAAGGCCAUUGCGAGGUUGUUGGGAGUGAAAGGUAUGGUGUCUAUAAAUCCCAUUUCCGCCUUUAAGGGGUGUUUCUUUGUGAGUACAGCAGGAAGAGCAAAAUGGUUACAAGAGCAGGAGAGGCUUUUAGUGAAAGGAAGGCUUGUUCUCCUAAGAAGAUGGUCGCCAAGAGAAAAUAUGUUUAUUCCUGGAAAAUUUAGAAGGGGUUGGUUAGUGUUGAAAGGCCUUCCUUUUCACUUGUGGGAGGUAGACCAGCUGAAAUUCAUCUUGAAGAAGUGGGGGAGGGUGACGGAGGUAGCAAGGGAAACCGUGAAGCUGUUGGAUUUGACGAAGGUGAAGCUGUGGGUGGAGAUGCAUCCUAGUGUCGUGCUUCCAGCGUUGCUCGAGGUGGAAGACGGGGCCUGGAAGCAUACUGUAGCAGUUUCAGUCAUCGGAGAAGAGGGCGAAGACGGCAAUGUCACGUCCGGGACAUCCCACUGCAGGUACGAGUGGUUGAAAGAAGGGGUUUGCGUCUCUCAGACGCCAAAAUUUGCAGAGGGGCUACGAGGUAGUAUCAGGGGUAAUGAGUGCUACAGGAGGGAGCUUCUUCCCCGGGCACGCUAUCGGCGUUCAAGUACAAGCAUGGCGGCCAAAAGGGAGAAUGGAUGGGAAGGGAGCAGAUUGGGCUUUGUAGAGGAAGUCAUUCUUGGGCCCACAGGGCCUGAGUCUUCCACUAAAGCCCAUCCAGUAAGGGCCCAAAAAGGGAGAAGGAGUCGUGGGCUUCACGCUGGCCCAGACGUCCCUCAAGCCCAUGACGCUGCCGCAUCCCUUUCUUCUCCACAGAGAGCGGGCUCCUCUGCAAAGGCGACCACGCAGCCUCGUUCAGGCGAUGAGAGGGCCGGCGUCGAAGUAAAUCUUGGAGAGGAUGGUCGGGCCGAUGAGUUUCAGGCCCUGAUUUCAUCCAACCCUAGCCCACCUUCAGAGAUAGAAGAGGAGAGUUAUGGGCGUCGGACUGUGGGCUGUAAGUCAUCAGGCCCGUCGGGGUUGGGCCAAGUUCAAGGUGGCUCGAUGUCGUCUGGCUUGAGAUAUGGGUCUCGAGAGAGAGAAAGUGCAGCAAGAAAGGGGAAAGCUUCAAUGGAUCAGAAGGAAGACUUCACGCAAGGGGAAAAAACGAUGGAUUCAAGGGAGAUGUGGUCCAAACUCUUCCUUCCAAGCGCGGAUCGCCGUCAUGGACAACGGAGUAGCAGCGAGACUCUUCCCCUACGGAGCGCAGCGUCAUUUAGCAAAGGCCACAAUCUGGAAGUGGAUGGUGGGAUGGGAUCUCAUCAGACUCGAGGUAUCAGAGAGAGUCCCAUCUUCCGUUGUCUUCUGCCAAGGAAUUGCAACAGUUGGUCGAAGGAGGAAACCUCGACGUCAAGAGGAGUGAUGGAAUCGCGAAAAUCCCAACUCAAAGAAGACAAAGGAGGAUUUACGGGACGAGCGGGGUACGAUCCUGGUAGCUCUUUAGUCACGGUGUCACCUUCUAUUCCAAGAACCAGAGGUAAAGACAUCAUUUUGGGAGGAAAUUGUGAAGUUCCGGGAGUGGAAAGCUUGGAGGUAAGUCAGCCUUUUUCUUCUCAGCCACCCGAGCCUUAUCCCUCUCCAUCCUGUAAUCUGGCAAUGAAUCUUCCGUGUCCCUCCGGUCCUCAUCUCCCAUAUUCAGAAAUUCUUUCCCAGUCUCCUUCGGUAAAUCAAGGUAAAUUCAAAAUUUUUCCCGAAAUAGGCGAUGUUGGCCCAUUAAAUUUUGUUGGCAUCCCUGUCCAUGUUGAGGAGGAGAAUCAGAGAGCUGUUUUUAACCAGAUGUCCGAGAGUUCCACCCCUGGGAAGUCUUCUAACCUGAUGCUAGGCAGUCCGGGGGUUAAUGAGGCAUCCCCGCCGGAAGACUUUCUUAUAGAUGGCCUAUCCCCCAGGAAAAUGGCUAAAGUACGUGAGGUCCUAUGCUCUCUGGACAUUAAGGUGUACUCUAGGAGGAAGAAUAGAGGUCCAUAGGCGUUUGAAUCCAGGUGGAUUUGGUUUGGAGGGUUAGGGCCUGCGUGUUUUUCCAUGAAAAUCAUCAGUUGGAAUGUUAAGGGUUUGGGUUCAAGUAAUAAGCGAAGAGUGAUUAAAGAUUUCCUUAGGUUAGAGAAGCCGGAUGUUGUGAUGAUUCAGGAAACAAAAAAGGAGAAGUGCGACAGAAGGCUAGUGGGCAGUGUAUGGACGGUCAGAAAUAAGGAUUGGGUUUUUCUCCCGGCGUGUGGGGCUUCUGGUGGGAUUUUGUUCAUUUGGGACUCAAAAAAGUUGAGCAAGGAGGAGGUGGUAUUAGGCUCUUUCUCGAUAUCGGUCAAAUUCGCCUUGGAGGGAUGUGGAUCUCUUUGGAUUUCUGCAGUUUAUGGUCCAAAUAGUCCCUCACUUAGGAAGGAUUUUUGGGUGGAACUUUAUGACAUUUGUGGUCUAACUUUUCCGUUGUGGUGUGUGGGCGGUGAUUUUAAUGUCAUAAGGAGAAGUUCAGAAAAAUUGGGGGGCUCUAGGCUAACUUCAAGCAUGAGGGACUUUGAUAGUUUUAUUAGUGAAAGUGAAUUACUUGAUCCACCUCUUCGGAACGCAUCAUUCACUUGGUCAAAUAUGCAAGAGUCUCCCGUGUGCAAGAGAUUAGACCGUUUUCUUUACUCAAAUGAGUAGGGGCAUCUAUUUCCCCAAGGCAUUCAAGAAACCCUUAUCAGAAGGACCUCGGAUCAUUGGCCAAUUGCUUUGGAUACCAAUCCGUUCACGUGGGGCCCAACUCCUUUUAGAUUUGAGAACAUGUGGCUGCAACAUCCUAGUUUCAAGGAGAACUUUAGAAAUUGGUGGAGGGGUUUUCAAGGAAACGGAUGGGAAGGCCACAAGUUCAUGAGGAGAUUACAAUUUGUUAAAGCCAAAGCGAAGGAAUGGAAUAAGCUUUCUUUUGGAGUGCUUAAUGAAAAGAAAAAAAGUAUCCUCAAGGAUUUAGCUAACUUAGACGCCAUCGAGCAGGAUGGGGGUCUCACCUCUGAAUUGUUAGGUCAAAGAGCCUUAAGAAAAGGGGAGCUAGAGGAUUUAAUUUUGAGGGAGGAAAUCCAUUGGAGACAAAAAGCUAGGGUGAAAUGGGUUAAGGAAGGGGAUUGCAAUUCUAAGUUUUUUCAUAAAGUGGCUAAUGGUAGGCGAAAUAGGAAGUAUAUCAAGUCAUUGGAAAAUGAAACGGGCUUAGUGUUGAAUAAUGCCGUGAGCAUCACAGAGGAGAUCUUACUCUACUUUGAAAAACUCUACGCGAAUCCUAUAGGAGAGUCUUGGAGUAUUGAAGGUUUAGAUUGGUCUCCUAUUUCGGAAGAAAGUGCAAUAAGUUUGGUUGCCCCUUUUACAGAAGAAGAGAUUUCUAAGGCCAUAUUUCAGAUGGAUAGGGACAAGGCUCCAGGGCCUGAUGGCUUUACUAUUGCAGUAUUCCAAGACUGCUGGGAUGUGAUUAAGGAGGAUUUAGUGAGAGUGUUUGCAGAGUUUCAUAGGAGCGGAGUUAUCAAUCAAAGCACUAAUGCCUCUUUCAUUGUUCUUUUGCCCAAAAAGAGUACGACAAAGAAAAUCUCAGACUUUAGACCCAUUAGUUUGAUCACUAGUCUCUAUAAGAUAAUAGCCAAAGUGCUCUCAGGGCGUCUAAGAGGGGUCUUACAUGAAACCAUCCAUUCUACUCAAGGAGCUUUUGUUCAAGGGAGACAAAUAAUGGAUGCAGUCCUCAUAGCAAAUGAGAUAGUGGAUGAGAGAAGACGAUCAGGGGAGGAAGGAGUCGUCUUUAAAAUUGAUUUUGAAAAGGCUUACAAUCACGUAAGGUGAGAUUUUUUAGAUCAAGUGUUGGAGAAGAAGGGGUUUAGUCCUAAAUGGAGGAAAUGGAUGAAUGGAUGCUUGUCCUCGGUAUCUUAUGCAGUAUUGGUGAAUGGUAGCGCUAAAGGUUGGGUUAAGGCAUCGAGAGGAUUAAGACAAGGAGACCCUUUAUCCCCCUUUUUGUUUACUUUAGUAGCAGAUGUAUUGAGUAGGAUGCUUGUGAGAGCAGAGGAGAGAAAUAUGUUGGAGGGUUUCAGGGUGGGUAGAAAUAGAACUAGGGUAUCUCAUUUGCAAUUUGCCGAUGACACCAUCUUCUUUUCUAACACUAGGGAGGAAGACUUGCAGACUCUCAAGAGUCUUUUGUUAGCAUUUGGGCAUAUUUCUGGACUUAAGGUCAAUUUAGACAAGAGUAAUAUUUAUGGCAUCAAUUUGGAUCAUGCUCAUAUUUCAAGAUUGGUUGAGACACUUGGAUGCAAGGCUUCUGGCUGGCCUAUACUAUAUCUGGGUCUUCCUUUGGGCGGGAACCCCAAGGCAGGUGGUUUUUGGGAUCCUGUGAUUGAGAGAAUUUCAAGAAGAUUAGAUGGUUGGCAAAAGGCAUACCUAUCCUUCGGUGGGAGGAUAACUCUCAUCCAAUCUUGCCUUACCCAUAUGCCCUGUUACUAUCUUUCUUUAUUUAAGUUACCCGCUUCAGUUGCUGCAAAAAUCGAGAGGUUGCAGAGGGAUUUUUUAUGGUCAGGGAUUGGGGAAGGUAAAAAGGAUCAUUUAGUCAGGUGGGAUGUCGUGUGUAAACCGAAGGAAAUAGGGGGUUUGGGUUUUGGGAAUAUUUCUCUGAGAAAUCUCGCUCUUUUAGGGAAAUGGUUGUAGAGGUACCCUAGAGAGGGUCCAGCUCUAUGGCAUCAGGUCAUACUAAGCAUCUAUGGUUCACACUCCAAUGGUUGGGAUGCUAACACAAUAGUCAGAUGGUCACAUCGUUGUCCUUGGAAGGCUAUUUCUCAAGUCUUUCAAGAGUUUUCCUCGUUUACUCGAUUUGUGGUAGGAAAUGGGGAAAGAAUUCGCUUCUGGGAAGAUUUGUGGUGGGGGGACCAACCUUUGGGAUCCCAAUAUCCAAGUCUAUUUAGAGUAGUCUUGGAUAAAAACAUACCUAUUUCUUCAGUUCUUGGUCCUACUCGUCCUUUCUCUUGGAAUUUAAAUUUCCGUCGUAACUUGUCAGAUUCUGAGAUUGAGGACUUAGAAGGCCUCAUGCGCUCUCUUGAUGGAGUGCAUUUAUCUCCUUCGGUUCCAGAUGCUAGAUUGUGGCCCUUGUCUUCUUCAGGGCUUUUUUCAGUUAAAUCGUUCUUUCUAGCUUUAUCCCAAUUUUUUGGUCCUCCUCAGGUUUUUCCUUCUAAAUUCGUUUGGAAUUCUCAAAUUCCUUUCAAAGUGCAGUCCUUCAUCUGGUUAGUGGCACACAAGAAGGUGAAUACUAAUGACAUGCUACAAGUGAGAAGACCCUACAAAGCCCUUAGUCCGGAUAUUUGUAUUCUGUGCAUGAAGCAUGGGGAAUCAGCUGAUCAUAUUUUUCUUCAUUGCUCCUUGACGAUUGGGUUAUGGCACAGGUUAUUUCAGUUAGCUAAGAUGGAUUGGGUUCCCCCAAGAAGCAUCCUUGACAUGAUGUACAUCAAAUUCAAUGGAUUUGGUUCGUCUAAGAGGGGGAUAGCCUUGUGGCAAGCUGCAAACAUCGCUCUUAUUCGGAUUGUGUGGAGGGAAAGGAAUGCGAGGAUUUUUGAGGAUAAAGCAAGGAAUUCAGAGGCUCUAUGGGACUCUAUUGUUUUCCUUGCUUCUCUUUGGGCCUAUUGUUCCAAGGUUUUUAAGGGGACUCCCCUUAAUGCGUUACUUCUUGAUUGGAUAGCUGUAUGUACUCCAUAAGGAGUGGUCUUUUUAGAGUGUUUGCUCGUUUUUUAGUGUAUUUUUCUAUAGUUUAGCUGUCUUUGGCAGGAGGAUUCCUCAUCCUUCUUUUGUACUUUUUUUCUAUCAAUAAAUCUUUGUGUCGUUUCCAAUAAAAAAAAAAAAAAAAAAAAAAAGAACUCCUUCAACACUCUCAAGCUUAUCAAGAAGCAUGAAGAAUUGGAGUGACUUUAAAUCAAUGCACGGAGUAAACACCUGCUAUCCAUCCAAGCUGAGAUGACUCCCUAGAAUCUACAGAAUUUACACUCUCAAUUGCAAGAGAAAUAGAAAGCUCUACCUUUGAGUCUGAAAUUAGUCUCCAAAAAUUGAAACAGAUGAUGAUGUCCGAACUUGAUUCAGAGAAUAAAGUAGGGAAGUUAAAGAAUUCUAAUAUAAAAUUGCAACUGGAGAAUUCUGAUUUGCAUGUAAAGGAGUUAGGUAAUUCCCUGCACCACAGGCCUGAGGAGGAAGUCAGGCUGCUAGCAGAUGAAUAUGGACGUACAGAAAGGUUUAAGGAAAAGGAAAUUGACUUCAUUUUUUACCAUGACCUAUGGUCACCCUCCCAAACUGAAUCCAAUCAGAUAUGAUUCUUCAGCCUUCUGUUCUUCAACUAUCAGAAACGGCAGUCCAGAGAGACUAAAUUUCUCAGCAAAAUUUCAGAGAUUCAUACAGGGGAUUAAUGCCAAAGCUCCUGAAGUAGGUCUGAAUGUAGGGAGUUUCAAGGAAUCAGAAGGGACCCGGGAGUACAGCGAUGCAAGGUAUUCGAGUGCAUGCAAGAGAGUAGAAAGGGAAAAUUUAUAGAGAAUAACAGCAGCGCCUUCAACACUAGCAAGACAGCCUCAAUCUCGUACUUGGAUGGCACUCUUACAUGGCCGCCUCGGUGCACACCUCUUUCUCCUUUCGUUCCUUUGAUUGAGAACUUACAGUUUUGAAUUGAUUUUUUUAAAUCCAUGUUUUAUUGACCACUAUUCACUUAAUCACUGCCACACAUAAGACUGUUGAUAGGCUAAGGGAUGAGAAUGCACGGCAUAAUUAAAUUUUUAGAGUUCUCUCUCUCUCUCUCUCUCUCUCUCUCUCUCUCUCUCUCUCUAUAUAUAUAUAUAUAUAUAUAUAUAUAUAUAUAUAUAUAUAUAUAUAUAUAUAUAUAUUGUUAUAUUAUUAUUAUUAUUAUUGUUAUUGUUAUUAUUAUGUAGAUCCUCCAUUUCGUCCCUUAACACAUAUUGUUGCAUUUCUAUUUUCCUCUCACCAUAUAGUCAUGUUUAUUGCGUGUUUAGGAUUCUUCUUGCUUGAUCAUUCAUCGUCCCUUGUUGGUCCAUGUUUGCUCGAAUCAUUACUGAUUUUUGAGCCAUAUUUUAGAAACCAUUUAUAGAGUUAUUUCGGAUCCUAGCUUGAUUAUUGGAGGCUCAUUAGGCUUAGUUUGUUGUUUGUUUUUUUUUUUUUUUUUCUAGCUUUGGCUCUUGAGGGUUUUUUUGACUCCUUGGCAGCUUGGAAGGUAGCCUUCCAUUUCUCUUUAAGAGGCUAUUUUGGCCUCUUAUCGUGGGGGCUCCUUUUUUGGGACGUUUUGGGUAAGGGCUUUUUUUUUUUUUUUUUUUUUUUCAGUUUUUUGGCAACCUGGAGAGACAUUUUUUAUGAGGGAAACAGGAGAGCCAGAGAACGUGUUUUUUUGGGUGGUAAAGAAAGAGAGUGGUUCACUAGAGAGAGAGAGUACUCUCCUGUUGAGGGAUUCUUUUUAUAGGGGCAGAGAAAAAAACAUUCGUGAGAGGAAAAGCUUGAGGAGAAAGAAAACCAGAGGUGAGCUCAUGGAUUUUGAAGGUUUUCUAGAGAAAGAGAGAAGCUAAAAGCCCCAACAAAUUUUUUUGGAGAGGAGCUUUCCCAUGUAUGGGUGUUAUGGAUUUCCUGUUCAUCUUUACUAUCAUUGUUCUUCGUCUUCUCCUCUUGUUGCUUGGGCAUUGUUUGUUUGUCUGGUUGUGGAUAGCUGAGGCCACAUGCGAGUUUUGUUGAUUUCUAGUUUGUUUAUAUGCUUAUUGUUGUUGUUUUAUUGACUAUUCUUUUUAGCAUUGUUUGAAUUCGGUAAGGCUCUGUUUGACAUUCCACUAUCUGGAGAUAUCGACUGUAUUUUUGUUUUGGAUCUACUUCUAGUUUAUCCACUAGCCUCCAAGCCCAUUGACAAAAGAAUGAGAUGUGGCUUUGUUUGGCUAUUCAAUUUGCAUCUACCUUUUCUCUGUUUUUCUUGGUUUAUUUUGUGCUAUUGCGUUUGUUUCUCGUUCUCUUUUCUGAUGUAUGUUUCCUAAUGUGCAACAACAUGCGCAUCUCUGCUUGGUGGUUGUCCUAGUGCUCACAAAAGUACACUGUUACUAUAGAUUGUUGCAAUAAUAGCCGAAUGGCAUGAUAUUGGUGGAUUAAGUCUAGUUGUGUAUGUAUCUAAUGAAGAGAGUGUUGAACAAAUUGGAAAUAGAGCCACAUGAAGAUUGAAAUGGAAGACCUUUUCUUAUAUUCAAAUACUGAUAUUGAGGACAUAUUGGGAACAGUUCAUCUUCUUUCCCCUAGGGCUCUAGUUAUUGAUUCCAUUCAAACUGUAUAAUUGAAAGGAGUCAUUGGAAAUGCAAGAGGUCUCUCGUAAGUGAAAGAAUGCACAUUAGCCUUUCUGUGUUUUGCUAAGAAGACUAACAUUCUUGUGUUUUUUAUUAGACAUGUGACAGAAUCUGGAGACAUAGCCAGGUCUUGUGCCCUGGAGCACAUUGUUGGCAUUGUUUUAUAUAUGGAAAUGGAGGAGCACUCAUCUCAUCAAUUGCUUCCAUCUGUGAAGGAUUGGUUUAGGUCCACUGAUGAGCUUGGAGUGUUUGAAAUGUCACAAUUGUGAUUACAAGUUGUUUCAAACCCCAGUAGGUUGUUCAUAAGUGAGCAAAACUCGGAAUAGGAGAUUUUAGCUGGGCUUGUAGUUGCUGUAAUUAUGCAUAGAUAUUGAUCUCUUCUCCUAGAAAUUCAAGCAUUGUGUAGGAUCAACAAUUGCAAGGCAAGUUAAUGGGGUUCUAGCAAGCAGAGCUGACAUGAUUAUCUCAAUGCUCAUGAAGCAAGUCGGUCUAAAGCUCCAAGAGAAUGACAUCUUUUUAAAUGUUGUAAGUGGGGUGACACUGGCAGAGACUGCUGCAGAUCUUGUUGCAGCAGCUGCAAUUUGCAGUAGCUUCUUGGAGUUUCCUUUUCCCAAUGGCAUUGCAUUCAUUGGAUAAAUCAGCCUCAGUGGUGAGCUUCGCAUGGUACCCAGAAUGGAGAAAAGGGUGAGCACAGUAGCAAAACUAGGAUACAAAAAAUGCAUAGUCUCGAAAACAGCUGAAAAAUCUCCACUAAGUCUUGAGAAUAUGAAAUUUGAGAUUGUGGGUUGUAGGAAUCUGAAAGAGGAUUUCCAAGUGUUGGAGGUAAGAAAGGUAGGAAGAGAGUACACUCUUCAUAUAGCGAAGCUGUUUUGUUGAAAGAUUGGCCACCAGCUUGGAGAUGUGCUCCCAUUCUCUAUAAACAAAAUGUUGUUUUGCCUGAGUACUCUUGGGGAGCAUUUAACUUAAGAAGCCCUCCAGUUUUUUUCAAUAGUUAUAGAACAUUUGCAGAUUAUUAGAAGAAAUAGUGGUGAAGACACUCUUGCUCAUUGACCAACUGCAUUUGGCAUGAUAACCAUUGAUGAAGCUUCAUGUGUGGUCUUGAAGUAUCUGGAUAAGGUUUGGGGAUCCCUCCCUUCUUCAGGUAAAGCAGAGUUGCAGAAAAUGGCAUUUAUUCUCUUUGCAAGUGGUACACGCCUAGUGAUGACAAAAUCUUUUUUUGUGCGUCUGACAAUAAACCUCUCCCCAAUUUCCAUUUGAACUUGGCACUGUAUCUGCCCUUCGUAAAUAUUCUCAAAGACAUAGGACCUCAAGACAUGUUAUCAGUUGCUUGUGUGAAGGAUCUUCUUCUAAAUCUCCAAAAAUAUAGGCUUUACCUAAAAAUGGAUUAGUUGCGUGACAGUCGGCAACUGCAGUGAUUUUGUAAUGCAUGCAAGGGAAUUUCACAGGCAAUGCUGGGAUUGAGUUUUCUAUAGGAAAUAUAUUCGAAUAUUGAAUGUUGGAUACAAACUUUGAUUCCUUUUCUAAGUGCAAUGGGAACCUUUAGAUUAGAAAAAAAAAAUAUUAGAACUAGAAAUUACAAGUUAGAUAUACUCACCUAAGUUUUUAGGUUCAACCAUGUUUGGUAGGGAGGAUUGACAAUGAAUAGGGACUUCAUUUCCAUGGUAUGUUGCAUCUUUCCUCUUCCUUGAAUAAACUUGCAACUCUCUUUUUGUUCCAUCUUGCUGCUCUAGCAUUUUUUGUUUCAACCUCUUGUAGUUUGCUUUCUGUUUCUCCUUGCUUCUCCUCAAUAUCAUCACAAUGAGUUUGUUGUGUAGAAUCAAGUAGUUCUCCAUUUGCUUCAUUUCCAGAACACAAUGGUAAAGAAUUUGCAGUGAACUCACUAUGAAUAGGAGUAUGGGCAAUGUUUGUAGGUGAAAUAUCCUAAAAAUUCACUUCUUCAUUAGUCUUUUCACUCUCUAGUCCAAACAAAUUUUCGGCAAAGUAGGGCUGGUCUUCGAAGAAUGAUACAUCCAUAGAGACAAAAAAAUUUAGAAGGUGGGUGAAAGCACUUAUACCCCUUUUGUGUAGGAGAGUAGCCAAGGAAAACACAUUUUAUAACUCUUCGGUCCGAUUUGCUUGUGUUGUGAUUAUGGAUAUGUAUAAAGGCUAGAUUCCUAAAAACCUUUAGGGAAAGUAAGGUGAAGAAUUGGUGAGAUGUGGGAUAAACAUUUUUCAAGGUGUUUAUGGGUAUAUCAAACUUAAGGACACAAGUUGACAUCCUAAUGAUUAGGUAUGAGGCUGUCAACAUUGCUUCUCCCCAAAAAUGCUUAGGAACCCUCAUUUGAAACAUCAUUUCUCUAGCUACCUCAAGUAAAUGUCUAUUUUUCCUCUUUGCAAUCCUAUUUUGUUGGGGUGUGUCAAUACAAGACGUUUGGUAGACAAUGCCAUUCUUUUCAAGGUACCUCCCUAAAAUUUGUGAGAAAUAUUCUUUUCCAUUUUCAGUUCUUAGAAUGUGAAUUUGAGUUUGGAAUUUGGAUCAUUUGGUGAAAGUUUUAAAAAAUUGUGGCUUCCUCAGAUUUUCUUUCAAGAGAUAAGUCCAACACACUCGUGUGUGAUCAUUUAUCAAUGUCAUAAACCACCUAGCACCUGAAAUUGUUUUCACCAGAGAGGGCCCCCCUCCCCCACACAUCACAUUGCACAAGGGAGAAUGGACUAGAUUUCUCAUAAACUUGAGGAGGAAAAUAGUUGCAGUGAUGUUUUGCAAGUUCACAAACUUCAUAAAAUUAUUUCUUUCACAUAAGUUAUAGAACUUCCGCAUUGGAGAUCCUGAGAAGUUUCUACCAUGACUUUUCUUCUUCUUCAAGGAUAAACAGUCCAUCCACUUCCCUAGCAUUGCCAAUCCUCCUCGUACAUAGUUCCUGAAAUCACAGUAAGUUGGGAAAAAUUUAGCAAUGCAAUUGUGGUCCCCAGUAAGUUUCUCAAAUAAAGAUUUCUCGAGUAAGCUGAAACUGGAGUCAUCACCAGCUGCUUCAGAUGUUAACUUGCUUUUACCAAGAACACAUAGUUCUAAUGAAGAUGCAUCCAGAACAAGGGCAUUGGUGCAUACAUGGAGCAAUGGAGAAUUAAGGUUUGUUAUUGGCAAUGAUGGAAUUACCCUAUAUGGUCAUUGUCAAACUCCCAUUCUUGGUUUCUGUGUACAACACUACUGAAAGUCUUCCCACUCUAAGAUCAAAAAGUAGAACAUUGUUGUCCCAGAGUUUGAAAGCCUUCUCAUUUAAUGACUAAAGAAUGACACCAGAAACUUCCGUCCAGAUAGUCUACUCGAUGAAGGAGGAUUUAGCUGUGUUUUCAAAAGAUGGAAUGAUGAACAAAACUUGUUGCUGUAAAGCCUGUAUUAGGAAUGCUUAUUGCUGUUAAGAAACUCAAACUAGAAGGUUUUCAAGGCCACAAGGAGUGGUUGACAGAAUUUAACUACCUUGGUCUUACCUUAGCACAUCGUGUUGGAAUGGUUGUUGGCAUUUAACUGAAUGCUUCUGCAAUUUCAGAUGCUCGGAGGAAUGCCUUCAUUAAAGAUGAAAACCAAGUUGAAGGCGGACUGUUUAAGACAAAAAAUGGUCUCCUGUAAGUUAGAAGUCAAGUAUGAUAUCCAAGCAUUCUUGCUCUUGCAUUAGAAUUUCUCAGAAAAUGGCAGAAUCUAAAUCAUGUGUUCAAAGUUGUCGGGAUGUUUAUUCAUGCAUUGAAGCCCCCAUAGGAUUUUGAGUGGAUAUGAGAAGCGGUUGUUGUGGAAAUUCCGUUUCUCAUUAAUGUAUGAGAAGAGGGCUCUCACAAAGUUCCUCUGAUGAAUCUUUGCUUUAGAGGAGUUCUCAGGUAAGUUUACUGUGUAUCUCUUGUUCAUCUUCACUACCAGUGUUUUUCAUCUUCUCCUCUUGCAGUUUGGGGCUUUGUCUGCUUGUUUGGUUAUGGAUGACAGAGGCUACACGAGUUUUGCUGAUUUCUGGUUUGUUCAUAUGCCCAUUGUUAUUGUUUCAUUCAUUGUUCUUUUUAGUAUUAUUUAAACUCGGUGAAGCUCUGUUUCAUUUUGCGUUAUUUGAAUAUAUUGGUUGCCUUUUUCCUGUUUGAAUAUACUAGUACUCUUCCCAUUAGUCCGAGCCCAUUGAAAGAGCAUGAGAUGAGGCUUUUCUUGGUUCGUAUAUUGUUUGUUUGUUUUUUAUGGUUUUCUCUAGUUCUCCUCUGUUCGGGUCUCUGUUCUUUCUCUUUAGUUUUCUAAUGCACUUGAUCUGGGGAAGUGGAUUGAUGGAUUUAUCUAUGAGAGAGGGAUGGUCUUGGGCUAGUUCUUGGAGAAUGCACUGGCAGAUAUGUAUGCAAAGUGUGGAAAGUGUGAAGCUAUUAACACUUCAUCAGUUUGCUUUCCCGGGGACACAAAUAUUGGUCGAAUAGCUGAGGGGUUAGGAUGGGUCCCUCUCCAACCACUACCAGAGCCGCUUCAGUUGUAUCUCCUGGAACUGUGUCGUAUGCUGGAGUUCACACAAAAGUACCUCUGGCCAAGGCUAUGCAAGCUGGAUCAGUUGACACUGAAUGAGCAAUGUUAUCAAUUGAUUACAUUUGGAAAGAUUUUCAAGGAUGACACAACAUUGGAUGCGGCUAACAUUGGCAACAGUACAAUAGACUAUGUGGAAUUUCUUGCUGCUAUUGAGCACUUGAACAAGAUAGUGAAAGAGAUGAUUCAGCAAGCUUGACUGUCUAGACUACUAGUGGUGCUACCAAGAAAUUCAUUUGUGAAGGAAAUUCUGACAUAAUGCCCAACGAUUGCCCAGAUGGUGAUUUUAGUAGAAAAUGAUUCUGUUUCAAGAGAGGACUGGGAAAGCAAUUAACUGGAGAGAUCCUUUUGAAUCUUUUCAUUUUGCAAGAAGAUAACAUCUCUGGACUUAGGUGCAAACAGGCUUAUAGGUUCAAUUCCAAAAUCUAUGUCAUAGUUGAAACUAAUUGAUAAUCUGGUACUAUCCAAUAACUAUUUCCCUUGGUCUAAUUCUUGAAGAGAUCUGCUUUGGGUUUCAAAAGGACAACAAGCUUACUGGUGGCAUCAUGAGAUUUCAAAUGCGGUGAUCUUGUCCUUAGCAAUGGAGCUCUACUUCAUUUGCUAGCAUAAUUGAACUAGCCUACAAAGUUGUAUACGCUCAGAAUUGCUGCUUGUGCACUUUCAAAAUUCUACGAGGGCAAGCUACAACUUCCUUUUGAUCAGACAAAACCUGCUUUUUCCGGAACAGAUCAGUGAGCAAUCAUUAGACAUGGUUUCAUCUAACCAUUCUUGCUUAGAUGACAAGUCAAAUAUCAGUGGAAGUGGUGCAUGAUCCCUCCGACAGAUCAGUUCAUACAACUUCUGGUGUGGAAAGAUUUGUUGGCAGGAAUCGCAGUCCUAGACGGCUGGUUAUUGCAUCUCUGGGAACCCCACUGCUUGAAGAUUCCCAACCUGAAAACUUUUGAUCUAUCUUGAAACCAGCCUAUGGGUGAGCCACCAAGGCUAAUCUACUGGAAUGAAGCAUUGCAAUACCUUGGGCUGCCAUGGAAAUGCAAUGGAAGUUGUCUUUCUUGACAAGCUUGAUCCUGGGGUGCAAAUCAUUGUAUUACUAAGACAAUGCUUCAAAAUGAGGGCAUUAAAGCCUUCCCCAAGGGAUUGUCUGCUGGGUUGCUUAGGCAAGCUACAUAUACAACUGCAAGACUUAGAUAGUUCAAGGUCCUGACUAAUAAAGUUGUUGCUGCUAAUGAUGGAAAACCAUUACCUUUGUAUCAGAAAGCUCUUUGUGGCGUAACUGCUAGAGCUAUUGGAGCCACUGUUGGUAGUCCUGCAAAUUCAUCACUCAUUCGUAUGCAAACUGAUGCCACUUUACCUGUUGCUCGAUGCCAGAAUUACAAAUAUGCUUUCCAUGCACUAUAUUGUUGCAGAUGAAUGGGUUCUAGCACUUUGGCAAGGCAUAGGUCUUACUGCAGUGCGAGCAAUGGCAUUGAACAUGGAGAUGCUUGCAUCCUAUGAUCAAAGUGUUGAGUUUUUCCAGGAUUUCCUUGGUUUGGGUGAAGCUAGUAUUGCAAUGGGACCCAGUGUUGUUUCGGGGUUCUUUGCUUCAGCAUUUAGUUUACCCUUUGAUUAUGUUAAAACUCAAAUACAGAAGAUGCAACCUAAUGCUAGUGGGAAGUAUCUGUACACCAGUUCUUUGGAUUAUGCCAUGAAAACAUUGAAAUCUGGAGGACCUUUAAAACUUUACACCGGAUUUCCUGUCCAUUGUGUUGGGAUUGCUCCAUAUGUCAUGUUAACUUGAAUCUUCUUGCUUGAACCAAAUCCAGAAGUUGGAGGAAUCCAUGGGGUUGUAAACCUCAUCAAUGCCAAGAAAUGCUAGCUUACUUGGAUGGGCCAUGAGUUCCUUAACUCUUAAGAGCAAACCUUCAGAACAAGCUCCAGUGGCUCCGGAAAGCUCUCUGCUUGCUGGAUUUUGUUACAUUCAUUUUCUGGAGCUCGCCCAAUUUUUGUUACUACCAUCACCUUUGAUUCUUCAAUCUUGUUAGGUGUGGUCAGCUCACAGCAGGAGGUGGUCUUCCUGCUCUGGCCAUUUUCUGAAUCCUAUUUCAAGACCGCGACUUGGUCUCAAUGAUGGCUCAUACAAAGGUUUCACUUGAUUGAAUUUCUGGAUUCUUGGAGGAGGAAAAGUUGCAAGAAGAUGCAACCAUUGUUCUAUCACGGGGCAUCAUUAACAUGGCUAUAUCUCUUUGCAUCAAACUUGGCAUCACUUUAAGCUGAUUUGAAGCGUAUGAAUUGGACAGUUUAAUAAUUCCGAAUGAGUUGUAUAUGUUACUUUUGAGCUAUUAUUAGUACUGUUGAAUGCUUAGGUUUUAGUAUUAAAAUUGCCCAUAUGCGUAUAUUUUGAAUCAAAAUGACCAUAUGAGUAUGUUUUUUUCCUAUCAUAAACAACACUUUUCUCCUAUAAUAAAGAACAUUUUUCCAGCAAUUUGAGUCCAUUUACCAAUAAAUUAUUACUUGGGUUCCCCUAUUUUGACUGCAGUCACCUACCAAACUAUUACAUGUUGUAUACUUGAAAAAAAAAUAAAUAAACCCUUAAUUUUUAUGCCAAACUUUUCAUGUAUUUAUUUAAUUUAACUUAAAUUACUGUAAUUACUUAAUCACUAUUACUUAUUGAAUAAUUGAAGUUAAUCAUUUUCUUUCCCCUAUUUUUUUUCCCCGAAACUUAGCUCCACUUAAUUAAAAAACCAUUUUUAGUAAAAUACAACUACCACAUCUCAUAUAGGGAUAAAAAGGUCAAAAUAUGAUCCCAUUUUGCCAAAAAUAACCUUCACCUAUUUUUUUUAAAAAAAUGUUGUAUUUUUCUUUUUCAAUAAAAAUACCUUUCAUUAAAAUUUCUGAUAAGGAGUGGUUUAGUUCAUUAAAGGUUAUAUUUAAAUUCAAAUUCAUGAAAAUUAUUCUUUUAAAGUGGUCAAUAUUUCAAGCUUUUAGUAAAAAUAUUUCUUUCAUACACUUAAAACUAAUUUUCACCUCAUAUUAAAUGAUCCAUUUCCAAACUGAAUUUCAAACUCAUUUCCACUUUAUUACACAUCAUUUAAACCCAACUAUAAUAUUAUUGAAUCACUGAUAAAAACCAUCCCAUUCCAAACCACACCAUAUCAUGAAGACAAAAACUUAUGUUGUUCCCAAAUACCACUUAUGCUACUUAUGUUGUGUUCAAGGUUGCACCCCUCUUUCUUACAACCUUAAAUUUGCUCCGAUGAAGGAGAGAUGGAGAUGUCAAUUUUUAACUAGAAGUCUGGUCUGAUCAUGCAAAACAUUAUUUAGCUUAGAAGCCAAAAUAACCCACAUACACACACACAUAUAGCUAAUUAAAAUGAUUCAAAUUCUUGUUUUACUAAAAUUGUUAAAAAAUUCAAUAUAUUUAUAUUCAUUUAUUUAAAAAAUUAAAAUAUCUCAACAAAAUUAUUAAUUUUAUUGAAUAUUUUUAUUAUAUUUUGAAGACAAAAAUUAAAUCAUUCAAAAUUUUAAAUAGAAUGUUAUAUAAUUUUAUUUGAAAGUCCAUUUUAAAAGUCUCCCGACAAUUUUUUUUUUGUAACUUUAUUUAAAUUAUUAAAAUUAUUGAAAAUUGUAUUUAUAAUUUAUCUUAUCUAAUUAAUUUUUACGUAAAACUUAUAUUUUAUAAAAAUAUUAAAAACUGAUAUUUUAUAAUUUUUUUUAUAUUUUAGUUAUUUGUCAAUAACUUUAUCUUUCAAUUUUUUUUAAAUCAACAUAACUAAAGUGAUAAAAUAAUGAAAAAUCAGAAAUAAAGUGCUCAUAAUUUUUAUUUUUAUUUUUUUGGAAAAUUUUAAAAUAAAAAUUUAAAAUAAAGGAUAACGUUGGGUUUUUUUUUUUUUUAACAAAAGACUUGAUUUUUUUUUUCUUCCAUAUUUUUAGCCAAAAAACUAGGUGUACCAACUUCCCAUCCAUUUUUUCAUUUUCCCCAUAUGUGAUAUUUGAACCGAUAAUUCUACCAAUAUCAUUGAUUUUUUUGCUAUAGCAUCUUAGGCUAGUUUCAAGUUCUAGCCUUUUGAUGCUUUAACAUUGCAUAUUUUCUUAUAAAACUCCUCAUAUCUAAUGCAAACAAACUACAAAUUGGUAAGAGUAUGAAACAAUCUCUUCAAUCCAAAGAAUUAGUCAUAUAAGUCACAAUUGAGUUUAAUUUUAAAAUUCUUCUAUUAGCAUGGAAUUAUUACUGAUAUCGGUAUCUAAGAAUUGUGCUCUUGUUCUCUGAUAUCCCCACCUGUUUUCAAGCCCAUUGACAAAACAAUGGAAUGUGGCUUGGUUUGGUUAUUCAGUCUUUUCAUGUCUCCACUUUGUUUUCUGGAGUUCCUUUCUUUUUUUUUUUUUUUCUUUUUUUUUCUUGUGUUCGUUUUUCUUUUUUUUUGGGUACCCAUUAUUUGUUAAGCAGCAAUUUCUGGAAUGCUUGGAGUGGGAGAGUUGAGACUAUCAUGGGGAAUAAAGAUUUGGAAUGUCGAUGGAGUGUUGAAUCCUAAUUCUCUAAUCUUCUGAAUUUAUAUCUUGACCUUGGCCAUGCUACUAGCCUUCAAUGACUAAGUGCUGAUGGUCCUUCAAACCAGUGGCUUAGAGCCAGUCUUCAAUUGCAUCAUCCGGGUUCUUCUGAUUCUACUGGGUCAUUAUUAAAAAGGAAGGAAAGGUCAUGCUGCUUCCUCAAUGACAUAAUGAUCCUCUGGAUGUGUCCCCUUCUUCAAAAUCUGUGGUCUCUAUUCUUGCUCUGGACCACAAAUUUUGAGGGAGUGUCACUAUUUUGGCAAGGUUAUUGAUUCCAUUCAUGACAUUAUGUUGGCACCAGGAAAUGUCACGCUUGAAUAUGAAACCUGAUAUUAUAUUGUCAAAGAAGGAUCAGGAUUCUGAAGCCACCAAUGCUCUAAAAGGGGGUGCUCAAGACCAAUUGCAUAGACUGGCUGGAUUGGAUUAAUGUUGCAUGCAGUAUGCAUAUCGCUCGGCAGACAUCAUGGGUAAUCAGUAUCUGUUUUAUUGGUGACAUCAUCAUGACCCAUGAGAUGAUGCUGGUUUGAUGCCUCCCUCCAAAAAUUGCUCCAAUUCAGGUGAUAAUCAUACCAAUCUGAAAGAAGGCUGAUGAAAUUCCCACCUAGAACACCUCUGCCAUCUAUUGUACAGAUGAAAGCAAGAUCUGUGCAUUUUGAGCCUCUUGAUCACUAUGCCACACGUGUAUUUUUGAGGUCCUCAGCAUAUCAGGUUGUGUACAAACACAAACGUGAUGCCCAGGCAGCAUAUGGUUUCAUCGCGCAAAACAGUCUCCUUCAGUUCAGCAUUCAACUCCGAGUGUCCCUGCUCACGGAAAAGAAGAACUCGCUCAUUUCAUUUGUCAGGGAAUACCGAGAUCAAUUCAGAAACCUCUUUACAACAACCAAAAAACUGAUCUUGAAUCUCCAACACCCACAUUAUUACCACAGGCAAGCAAGCAAUUUUAUGUUGCCUCUGAUGCUGUUUUGUGGAGAGCUCAGCAUCCAAUACUUUGUCCUCUGCUCCAAGUGCUCUUUCUAAUGAACAUGCAUCGGUUGUGAUCAACAAUGAAGGUAGAAGAAGAGAAACCCUUAGUAAUCAAAGCUAAGUUGCAAAUUGGGAUGGGUCUGCUGUCAAUGGGUGCCACACUAAAUUAAACUGAGCUCAGUUAAGCCCUGUAGAUCUUAUAUCAAAGGAAGCUUGAUUACUGGAAAGCCCACCAUCCUCUGUCUGACACUGUAUUAUGAAGUUGCUAAAGAGAUAUUGUGUCGCCUGCUGUUUUUCAUGGUGAAACAAGCAAUUCUUUACCUUGCAUGUCAACACUGGGUAAAAGUGAAUUCUCUUGCCGUGAUAUUGCAGUUAAUGUUUAUAAAUCUCAAUGCUCUACAGGUGAAGGAGAUGGUUUAGUGAGCUUGAUUGCUGGGGAUUACUAAUGAUGAUAACAAGAAAUUCAUUUGUGAUGGAAAUUCUGACAUAAUGCUCAAUGAUCGCCUAGAUUGUGAUUUUGGUAGAGAAUGACUCUGUUUCAAAAGAUGGCAUUGAAACUGCAGCCGAUACAAUGAAUGUAAAUUCUGAAACUUCUUCUGCUGGAAAUGCAUGAAAGCUUAUUCUGAGAUGCAUGUGAGGGAAGGCGCUGUAAGUUUGCUUUUUUGUCUAGAAACAAAAUGCAAGGGCAUGGUUCCACCUGUUUUGUUGAAAGGAUUGCUUGGUGAGGAAGAAUUUGAACAUUGGGAGUCCUUAAUGUUGCAGAAACCACUUGAGUUAAUGUCUGAUGUAACCUAUCACCUGAGAUAUGAAACAAUCUGCAUAGAGGAUGAAAACCAACACUACUGCUAAAGCUAACGGUACUCCUGCAGCUAAAGACUAUGUAUUUGGACAGCUCAUCUGGACAAAUAUACCAACUCAGUGACAUCCAUCUGGUGUUGAAUUCCACAAUGUUCCUUCCAGUUUGCUUCCUUCCACAUAGUCAUCUAAGAAGAAUCUGGAAACUCCUUUGUUGGCCCUACAAGAGUUAAAUGAUCAAAAUUCCCAAAAAGAGGGGGAAUGAAUUAUUGGUUGGACCAUCAUUGAAUAUCAGCUUGAAUUCCUCUUCAGGGCCUCCAAAUUUUCUGCUACCUUUUCCUACUAAUGUUGUUGAAGGAAUAGGCUGAAGGAUCGGCUUUCACUUUUCAACAAGGACAAGGUCUUCCUCAGGACUACUAUGGUACUGGGUAUCAUGCACAUGCUCCUUAACUUGUCUAUGGUCAACCUCGGCCAAUUGCAGGAUAUGAUCAGCAGCAAGGUUGUAAUUCUGCCACUGGUUACGGUGAUGUGGCCAACCCAGUGCAAGAGGGGCACACUGACUCCUAAGUUCAGAAAUUUGAACAUAUCUGUUAAGUUAUCAAUGACCAAAGAUACUCAACUGAGCCUAUGGAGAAUGAGUUAGAUUCAGAUUCCCAAUGCCCAGAUGUUAGAAAUGAAGCUCUCUGCUCAUUUGCUUCCAUCUGAAACUCAAUACAUAGACGAGGACUCAAUUCUUGCCCUCCAGCUGGUGAAGUUCUUGAUUUCUCAUCUGUGAGGUUCAGUGGCUCUGCUUCUACAGAUCCUACCUAUGAAUUACCAGUGAACAAUGAAGGCCUUACAGAGAAUGCUGACUUAAAUGCUGUUGCUUUUGGAGAUGUACAUUCAGCAAGGUUUGGUCCUAAAAAUUCCUGAGAGUGAGAGUUCAAAAGGCAGAAAAAGAAAAUUUUCUACAGGAUCAGUUCUCCCUCAAACGGGUCAAAAAUCAUCCACAGCUGUUGACAAAAAUGAAACUGGGAAGAUCAUCCUAUUCUCUAGAAAAUCUUGGAUGUUAUAGAAAUGCAACUGGCUAUUCUUUCAAGCACCCCUUUUCUAAGGCUCUUUUAGGGUUGCAAUUCCUGCUUAACAGAAUCUUGAUAUUACGAGAAAAUGACUCAAAAUUCUCUCUCUCCAUUCAACAGGAACCUAUUAUUGUUUUGGCAUCCUGAUAAAAAAAUCGAGUUUAAUUCUUGGCCUGCCUUGCUCAACAAAGUUCAGGAUCAGUAUCAGAUUAAUGGUGGGAAGUUACGGCUCCCUCUAUACUCAGUUCUUCAGUAUUGGCAGUCUAUAAUUUUGGCAUGCAUGGCCAGUCAGAAGGAUUGGGAUGAAACUGAUGGAGAAAAUGACUUGACCUAUGCUCAGUUGAAGUUUCUAGUGCAUUGCCACUCUGGCCAACUGCAGCGGGAAAUCCUCUAUCUCUUGACGCCAUAGAGUGAGCUUUGGCCGACCUUGGAUCAAAUUCCUGGAAGAGCAACUGGUGCAUACAGUCAGGAUGGUGCAAGCCCAACAAUCCAUCUGAUGAUGCAGUCACUGAUAAGAUCGAGAGUGGGGAAAGGAUGAAGAUAUGAAACAGCUAUUUGGAAAAGAAUUAGAAUCUGGGAACUUCAGUGGUGUCCAUGCAUGGUGUUUAUGUAUACAUGGAUUAGAAAGAAAACAAGAUUGAGCCUGUUUCACGUAUAGGGUAAACUGAUCUCUAGGCAGGGCUUUAGUCUUGAACCUGCUCAAACUUUUCUGAUGGUCCAAAAGCUUGCAUGCACAAGGUUCUUCUGAUUAUUGAAGGAUCAUGCGAAGCACAUGUUCACGUGGAUGAUGGUCGAAUUGUCAUUAUGGGCAAUAUCCUUUGGUAUCUCAAGAACCAUGAAACCAGGGAAAACUUCUGUACAAAUGAAUCAAAUAUAGUUCCACUUAUUUUCUUACAGGUAUGACACUAUUACUUAAUGGUCAUGUGCUAUUCUCUAUACUCUACUUGUUUCAUUAGUCAUAUCUAUAUCUUGUUCCCAUGUGCUUGGUUUAUAUUUAUAUGGUCACUCAAAUGUAUCAAGUAUCAGUUGAUUUACAUCUGAGUCCCAUUUCGCUUUUUAAACAGGCGAACUUCAGAGGCUCCUUGGGUGCCGAGACCAACUGUUAAUUCAACUGAAACAAUCUCUAAGAUGGAAGACCCCUUUGUAGUUUUAGAAUCAACUUCAACCCCUGUGGUUUUAUCCCCAGGGGUGUUUAGUGACCCACUAGGAGAGAUUAAUAAACUCAGUAGUUCUGGAGGCAAAAAAGUUGGUGGUUCAUCUGCUGCUAAUGGGAAGAUAUUUGAUGAUGAUCCCCUGAGCGGCCUUGGAAAAUCUGUGGUUGCAUUUUCAUCUGAGAUGAAUAAAAGGGGGAAGAAUAUGAGCCCUUAAGAACUGGGCCAAGCACAGGAGAGAUUAAAACUAAUUGUAUAUUGCAAAAAAAGAAAAUAUUUUGUGAAAAUUCCUGAGAACCACACACAGAGGAAGAUGGUUAACAAUUAGAGGGAAUCUAGAGAAAAUCUGUUUGACAUGCCAACGGAUUCAACCAAUUCUCAUAAAUUUGUUUGUCAAACUGCUUCUACUCUUUCAUUUCCAAAUGCUGGCCCUAAGGAGACAAAUUCCCAAGUAGAUGUCUGUAAGAUCUGAAAAAAAACUUGGAUUUAUCGGAUAAUGUAUGGUUAAUUAUAUCAGAAAUUCAUCUCUUUACACAACCAACAUGUGCUCCACCACCAGCAUUUGCUCCACCGCCUUCAAGACCCCCUCCUCCAAGACCAACUCUAGUUUCAAAGCCAGAAACAGGUUCUCUUGGUUCCACAAAUCCUAGAAAAAAGGCUAGCGAGUUUUGUUCCUUCCAUUAUUCCUCUCAGCAUUUCCAGAGUUGCAAGUCAGUCCCCGCUGUAGUGAGAAGCUCAGACAUGUCUCAAAUUGAUGAGUUUGAGCGUUUUAUCAUGGGUAGGACUAAAAAUAAUACUGAACAUGAGGAUGUUCUUUUUUGUGGAGAAAUGGAGACAAACUCAGCUGCUGCUGUUAUGAAGGAGGCUAUGGGUAGAGCUGAGGCUAAAUUCAGACAUGCUGAGGUAGCAAGGGAGAGUGAAAAUAAAAAUGCUGCUAGAGGUAGAGAAGAUGUGAGACUGGAGAAAGAUGAGAAAUCUAUGGAAGAUGCUCAGGAGAGAAUACUCAGAGAAAAACAGGACAGAUUAGGACAUAAGCAACAACACAGGGAAAAUGAAGAGCAAGAGAGAGAACAAUAGAGACAUGAGGAAGAAAGUGAGAGAGAAUGUAAAGAGGACAGAGAAAAAAUGAGGCUUGAAAAAGAAAGGGAGAAAACUAGAGAGAUUGAGAAAGAAAGGGAAAAGACAAGACAAGCUGUAGAAAGGGCUACAAGGGAAGCACAUGAAAGAGCGGCUUCUGAGUUUUGCUUAAAGGCUCAGAGGGCUGCUGUGGAGAAGGCAAAUGCUGAAGCUCGAGAACAUGUAGAAAGGGUGCAGUUCAGAGAGCACAAGCUGAAGCUCGUGAAAUAGCAGCAACAGAGGCAAAGGAAAGAGCAGAAAGAGCUGUUGCGGAUGCAAGGAAAAGGGCUAGUGUACAAGCAAAGGAGAAGGAAGCAUGGGAGAGUGUUGCUGCAGAGGCUCGAGAAAGGACUGUUGCAACUGCAAGGAUGAACCAGCGAAAAAAUGAAAAUGAUUUUGAAUCCUUUUUCAAUAUGAGUAAUUGACAGAGUAGGGAACCAAGACCUAGUGCUAGCUCUUCAGUGAGAAUUUGAGCCUGAAACACAUCGAGCUAUAUUUUUUUGUUGAAUGUUCCAUGAUUGAUUUCUGAUUAUGUUUUUCAGGAUCCUUUGUUUGAAACUCACUCUCAGAACGGGCCUGGGCCUGAAGGAGCAAGGAGGACAUCUCCUGGAUCCUCAUCCUCCAUGAGGAAGCAUCUUCAACCACAAAUGUUGUUGAUGCUCUUCAAUUUUUGAAGGUAGUUUACUAGUUAGAAAUCUCUCUCUCUCUCUCUCUCUCACACACACACACACACACACACACAUUCAUGUCUAAACAUUAUUUUUUCUUGCAAAGCUUCUCCAUCAUCCAGUGAAUUCCAAGAAGUUGAAGAUGACAGUGAGGAAAGAAUAAGAGCCAGAUUGGAAGGCCACCAAAGGGCUCAGAAACGUGUGGUAUGUGUUUUUUAUCGCAUGAUUUCAUAAACAUUAGUUCCCUUGAACUUAGAAAAAAAACAAUACAAAUUUCUCAAUAUGAUGGUUUUUCAGAUAUUUGUAUUCAAUUUCAUGUAGGUUGGCUCUCUGCAGUGUUUGAUUGUUGAGUUUGCAAUGUUCAGGCAAAAGCACUCACUGAGAAGAAUCAGUGGGACUUUCAAACUCUGAGGGAACAAGCAGAAAGACAUGUAAGCUCUGUAGAUUACAGUGGCUAAAAGAAUUAUUCUACUUUCUUGCGUGUGUGUGUUUGGGGCAUCGUUUUGAAGGGGUCUUGGCUUGCUCUUAUAUUGGACAUAGAAGCACCACCUCUUCCUCUCAUGAAGUGGAGUGGAUUCCAAGUAGGGUUGCAACACAAUUCAAGUUAGGUCUUGUUUUUUUUAUCAUUUUCCAAGCACUUAAUUUGCUUAACUUAAACAUUAUGCACAACAAAAAACUAUCUGUGGCCAAUUGAUUUUAUUUUAUUUUUAAUUUGAUUCACAUUACAAUGAUCCACACUAUCAACCAAAAACGAGAUUCUUUCAAUAUGUAUAUAAAUGUGAUACAAUUAUCUAUGUAUUGCUAGAACUGAACCAAAAAGCACUGGCUCUAGGCCUGGUUGUCAUAGAUUUUCUGUUUUACAUUUCUAAAUCCUAAUUCUGAUCUUGCUAAGAAUUUGGCAAUGAUAGUUAAUUGGUAAAAAGUGCUUUUUAUUAUUCAUUUCUUUUAUUAAUUCUUUGUUCCUGUUAAUUGUGUAUUAUUCGCUAAUGCAUACAUAUUUAUUUUGUGCAUGUUUUCUGCUUGUCUACAUUAACACCUGCUUGAAAUCAAUUUGAGUUAUAGUAUUUUUUUUUUCUAACUUUGAUCUGCCCUAAUUCCAGAGGAUUGAUGAAACACUGGAUGUUGAGAUCAAAAGAUGGGUAGCAGGGAAAUAGGGAAAUUUGCGCUCUAUGCUAUCAACUUUGCAAUAUGUGAGUUUUUUAAAAAUCAGUGGUUUCUAUUUCCUCCCUCAAAUCUCAUAAUGUAUUGGUUUGAUGCCGUAAAAUUUAUGGAGCUCCAUUUUUCUGAGUUCUUUUCUUUUAUGUUUGGAAGACGAAUCCUUUUCCUUUUCAGGAUAACAUGGAUUGCAACUUUAUUUUUCUGCAAGCUGAUUAGAAUGCUGGUUUUUGUAGAUAAUUGAAAUGCAUUCUAGCUGCCUAGCAGCAGCGGUCAUCUUUAAUAUAUUGUAUGGUUCUCUAAUUUGUUGUUUUAGACAACUGAACUCUAGAAUCUCACAGGAAAUAUCAGCCUCUUAACUUUUAUGAUUCAUUUAACAAUCACUCAUCAUUUUAGAUUUUAUGAAAUUUGAUUUGGUGAUGGUUUGUAGUAGUUGAUCCUCUUUUAAAAUGGAAAAUAUAAAUGAGUAGUAGCAGCAUUUACUUGUGCCACUGAGCAUUUAUCCUUUUGGAUGAAGCAUACUGCUUUGCCACUGCCCAACAACUCCAAUUUCUUGUACUAAUGAUCAUCAACUAGUUUGCAGAAAUAUUUGUAGAGUCAUUCAUAUUGAUAUUUGAAUACUUUGGAUUAAACUCUUAAAUUAGCAAUGAACUAAAAACAUGUUUCUAGAAGGCAAAGAGCCAUAUAUCUUCUAGAAAGAGAUUCUUUUAUUGUAAAAGAAUUCACUGCAACAUCUGGGAUCCUUGCCUAGGGAUUUGUGGGAAAAUAUAUCAUGAAAUAUGAAAAUGUUAAUUGAACAACUUCUAUUUGGACUAAAGGUGUGUUUGAUAGUAAUUAUAGGAAGUGUUUCUAUCAUUUUUAAUAUUUGAAUUAUGAAAAUUUUCAAGUGUUACAGAGGUUAGAAACACUUCCUAGAAUCAUUACCAAAUGCACUCUAAAUCACUCCUGCCCACUUUUAUAUUUGUUUGUCUUCAUUGCACUUCUGAAUCAUUUUGAAUGAUUCUCCACAUCUUGCUCUCUGUCAGUGCUGCCUCUAACCUCCUAUAGAAACAUUCAUUCUUAACUAUCUUCUCUUUAAUUAUUUUAUACAUUUUAGGAUCCUUAUUUCACUUAUGUGCAAUUUUUAAGCAUAAUGUUUCUUAAUUGCUCCUUAUAUCGACCCAAAAAGCAUGACAAGUCCUAUAGUUGUCUUGAAGAACCUUUUCUUCAUCUUCAUGGGUAUGGAAUGACCACACAACACACCGAAAGAUGUUCUCAACUAAAACCAUCAUUCUCUAAUUCUAUAGGCAUUCUUCUUUUCGAUCUUCCUUUCAUGCAACGACAAUAGUCAAUUUUAGAUAUUUUUUGGAUACUAAUUUCAACUAUUCUCUUACUUAUAUUGCACGAAAUUACAUUUCAUAUGCUCAUUUUAAUCCUGUUUAUUCAAAACCUCUAGAUUCUAUUGUUUCUCUUCAUAAAUAACCUAGACUUGAUCUUCUAUAGUCAACAAUGUCAUCAGAUAUAAAAAAAUACAUCAUGAGAUAUGAUAUGGGAUAUACUUAGCAAAUUCAUUGAGAAGUACAAAUGUUAAGGGCUCAAUUCCAAUCCUUGAGGUAAGCAUAUUAUGAUUUGGUUUUAAGUUGAGUCUCUUCAUUGACUUUGUCUCUUUAAUUGUUUUCAUUUAAUUGUUGCUUUGUUUUACAAAUCCUUUAUUACAUCUAUUAUUUUAUGGUAUUAGGAUUGAUUUAUUUUUCUUUGUUACCUAUUUAUUUAUUUAUUUAUUUUACUUUUUAUUUUUAUUUUUUAUUUUUAUUUUGCUCUUACAUGGAAUUGGACCUAGAACUUAACCAAACAGCAACACCCACACACCCCAUUGAAUCCCUUGCCACUUGAGUUAGGCUUGGGGGUGGGGGCUGCCUUGCUGAUCAUAUUAACAUAUCUCCUGCCUGCCCUUUUCUUGUACUACAUUUUUUGUGGUAAUAUUUGUUUCGAGUCCAACUAAAACACCUUACCCCUUACCAAGUGAGCCUGGUCCAAUGGCCUUUCUUUUUUUUAUUUGAAACUCACUACAUAAUUUCAUAAGGCCUUGUUCUAUAUUCUUUUCCUUCAUCCUUUUUAUUUUUUAUUUUUUUCUGUUUAUAAAAAUCAUGUACUAGUCUCUUUUAUUCUCUCAUUCCAGUUAACUGCCCUGUAAGUUCCUAAAGAUCAAUUGUCCUCUCCAGGUGUGACAUCCCAAAUCGAAUAAGGGGGAAGUUCAUGGUGCUAUAUAAGUAUAGACUCCUCUUAACCUUAUAGACAUGUUUUAAAGCCGUGAGGGCCCAUUUGAGCCCAGAGCGGAUAAUAUCUACAUGGUUAGAAGCAGGUCAUUACAAAUGGUAUCAGAGUCGAUCCCUGAUCUCGAUGUGGGGGUUUGUUUGGCCACAUCAGAUAGGAGGGAAAGUUUAUGGCGCUAUAUAAGUAUGGACUCCUAUUAACCUUGUAGACGUGUUUUAAAGCCAUGAGGACCCCUUCGGGCCUAGAGUGAACAAUAUCUACACAGUUGGGAGUAGGUCGUUACAACAAUGGUUGCUUAACUCGUGAUUUCAAACUUACCUAGGAUCUUUCUACUCAUCAAACUCAUAGUCAACAACAAAUAUCUCUUCUUCAUCCAACUUUUUGUAUUUUGAUACAUAAUUGUACAAAAGGUAACUUGCACACAGUUCCUCAUUGCCUAUGACGCCAUGCUUUAGUUUUUGUUCUUUGUGGUCUUAUUUCUUCUCAAGAUUUUGACUCUAUAUCCACAUUGUUGUUGUACCAAUACGAUUGCAUUGAAACCAACAUAUUGUGUGUUCCGAGGUGAAGGUCAUCCUCGUUUGUAGAGAACACAUUCUUCUACAUGGGGUGUUUCAGACACUUCUUCAUGAGUACAUCCAAUGCCACCUUCAACAGAUGUUUUUUUACCAUCAGAAUCAAUAAGUGUCUGUUGCACAUUAUUUGUAUUAAAAGGUGCAUCAUCUUCAUUUACAUCUUGAUACCAACUCGACGAUUAUCCUUCAUCAGUGCCAUAGUGUGAAGACAUAAAACUAGUCGUCAAUACAUUCAUAUCACAAUGGUAGGAUGCAAUAAGUCUAUAUACAUGACUUUGUGCAUCUUGUAUAUGAUGUCAAGUUGUCUCCAUGUGAGCAAAAACAACUUAAGUCAAACAAAAUUAAAGGACAUUAAAUUGCAUAUAUUUGGACCUGGGACUUAGUUAAAUAGAAGUUACUAUUUAUAAUCAUUAGGUAUGAAGGAUUACAUCAGAGUCUUCAGUCUCAGUUGUGUCAAUUGGCUCACAACUAGAGGACCCUCAUUUCCUUCCGUCCUAUCUUGCUCCACCUAUGUGUUAACCAACUAUCAUUGCAAAACAUGUAAAUUGUUAUCCCAGUAAUCCAAUUGCAUUGUUCAUUAACUAUCUUAACAUAACUAACAACCAAUUAUACCUCAACUUUACCAAAUCCUCAAAGCAUUUCCAACUUCAACUUUAAUUUUUGCUUCACUAACAAAUUGGUCUAUGCAGCACAACGUGAUGUGAUAAGUUCUGCAUACAUAGUUGGAAAAUGCGAUAUUGAAAGGUAGAAUAUUUGUUUCAUUAUGUAAGACAUAAUUAGGGUUAACAUCAUGACCAACAUAGUCUACUUGCAUUAUUAAAUGUCAAAUAUUUCAUCAUAUACUUAUAAAUAAGACGAAUAGUCACCUAUAGAAACCUCAAACACCCAUUAACCCAAAUACUUUCCUUCCUCCUAUGUUCAUGUAUAGACUGAAUAAGAAAUUCUAAUACAAAUUAUCUCCAAUUUAUGUUCCCAAUUAACUACUCUCAUGGUAUAUACCAUAACGUGUGACUACCUUUCAAAUGAAAAGUGGGAGCCGAUAAGGUUGCACAUGAGAAUAUCAAGAAAAACAAAUUAAAUUUAUCAAUAUCAUCAAUGUCAAUCGUCAUUGCCUCUAUAUCCUUCAAAGUCGACAUUGGACUAGGUUUAACAAUUGCCUCUUCAACAAUUAACUCCGUUUUGAUAUGUGGAAUUCCCAUCAUGAUCCCUACAUCAUGAGAUGUCAAAGGGAUUGUCUCCCCCCUAAAUAACUCAAGUUGGGAAUAAGCAAUGUUCAUGUUGCUCAACAACUAAGAACACAAAUCAAAAUUCAACUCCUUACAACCUAAUUCCAAUAACCCCUUGAAACCAAGUUAUCUUGUCACAUCCUUCUUUACAUCACAGAGUAAUUGUAUUUUAGAAAGGAACUACACCCAAAACAAUGAGAAAGUCUUGCCAUAAUAUCACUCCAUUAAAUAACCAUAGUUCAUUAGUAAAAGAAUCAAAUGUUAAAGACAUGUCAAUGUGAAUAGAAUGUUUUGAUAUGCAAUCAUCAUAAUUUUGAAACAAAUAUGAUAUACAUUAACAAAGAAAUGGGAAACAUUUUGUUUUUAAAUGAAAAUCAUUGAGAUAGGUUAGGCCCAACCUCUCAAUUAUAUGGUUGUCACGGGGGUUAGCCUAUUAAUUAUAGGGUCACCCACUAUGAUGCACACUGCUCACAUAAAAACACACAAUCUACAUUUCAAAGGGUCAACCUCUAAAUCAUAUGGUAGGCCUCUAUUUUAUGUACUACCCAAAUCAAAUCAAUGUUUAGUUUACAUUAUUACAAUUUAGAAAUGAUAGGAACUUUUUUUAUAAUUUAACACAAAUUUGACCAAAUUCAUUCAUAUUACACUUAAUCUAAUGUUUAAAAAUAUAUGCCACCCAAUUAACUUUGCCUAAAGUUGAACAAAUUUUUAAAUAAAUAUGAUAACUUUUAUUUUUAUAACUAAUCUUCAGUCUUAAUCUUUACUAUUAUGUACAUAAUAAAAUAAAAGCAAGAUGUUUGAAUAUUUAUUUUUUCAUCAAUUUCAACUUUAAUUAAAUAUUGUGAUAACAUUAUUGAAUCAACUGAAUUUAUUUUAAAAAUAAUUAAAAUUAUUUUUAAUUAAUAGAACAUUUUUUAUCAACUAAAAAUUAUAGUUUUUAAUUCCUUGAAGCCUAAAGGCUCUAUUAACUUGAGAGCUUAGAAAGAGAAGCAAGAAAGAGAAAAUAGGAGAAAGCUUGGUGAAGAAAGGCUUCUUUAUUCAAGGAUUCAACCUAUCAAAGUAGGGAAAUGCAUAUUUUAAAUUAGAACUAAAAAGUCCAAAGCAUCCUAGUUUAAUAGAUUAGUUCUUAAAGGUGUAAUUUGGAACUUGUGUGUUGAAUUUGAAUUAUUAGAGCUAGUGUGUGAUUAGUGUUGAUCAUUCUUUGGAAAGUUUACAAGCUCAAAUUAUAUGCUCAGAAUAAGAUUAACUUAGACUAACUUAAUUAUCUACCUCUAAACAUUUAAUAAAAUUUAUUAACCUUAAAAUCUAGUAAGUUAAAUGAAGACAUAAAUCAAGAAAAUCCAUUUAAAAAAUCAAAAGAACAUUUGUGUAUUUCUCCAUCUCUACAUUCAUAAUUUUCUUCUUUUUCUCCAUUUCUAUACUUUUCACAUUAUAUUCCUUGCAAGCAACAAGGAUUGUUUAUUAAAACAAGUACAAAAAAACCUAGGCAUUUAUACAAACAACAUAUAUGCAAGCUAGGAAUAACAUUCAUGUAUAUUAUAAAUUCUAUUAUAUCCACAAAUAAUACAAAUAUGAUCAAACCAUUAUUUCAUUCAAGAAAAAAAAUCCUAUUUAGGUUAUCCACAAAUACAAUUUCCAAAACAUUUUCUUAACCAAAUUUGGCCAAAGCAAAUCCAACCUACCCAUAUAUCAUUCAAACAACUAAUAUACCAUCUAGGUUGUCCAAAAAUAUCAGUUUAAACACAUUUUCCUUCUCUAAUCCAUCCAAGAAAAAAUAAAAUAAAAUCCAAUUGUGUCUUUCAACUCAUUCAAACUCAUAUGACUUGGGAUUCUCACCUGUAUUGAAAUAUCGGUAAUGGAAAAUGAGAGGACAAGGUUAGUGGGAUGAGUCCUAAGGAGUCCUUGGAUGAAGACAGUUGUGAAAAUGAACACAUUCACAUUCUUAAAGGAUUGACACACAAAAAAAAAAGGACAAAAAAAAAAAUCACAAAAUAAAACAAAAGGAUUCCCAUGCUAUAGGCCAUCGCCUUUCUACACACAUUCAAGUUCGAUAGCCAAAAAUCGGUGAAGCUAGCUAUUGGUAGUCUCCAGCUCUAGAGCUACUUUAAGGUUGAAAAGCUCCUCUUUCCCACUAGUUUCAUCAUUUUUAACACACCACAAUUUCUUCCUUUUUCCUAGGGCUUUUUUAGGAUUGACAAUUAGGCUCUUGUUUAGGGCUAAUGGGUUGUGCUGAAAUGAGGAGAUAGCAAAUUUUUUUUAUAGCUUUUUGGGGUUGUGAUAGGUUGAUGGGUUGUGGCUAUGAACGAAGGAGAAAUGAAAUGGGUUUUUGGAGUUAAGGUUUGGUUGGAGAAAGAAAACAGCUUUGGGGUAAAUCUCAAAAUAUGUUUUUUUCUUUUUUAGAAUUUUUUUUUUGGGAAUUUUUUUCCCCUUGAUGUAUGGUUGCAUAAAUUUCCUAACAAUAAUUAUGUCCAAAUGUCAUAACCCAAAUUAGGGUCAACCCUUUAAUCCAAGGGUUGACCUCUAUUAUGCCCACUAGUCACAUAUAAGCAAAACAAUAUUCAUGUUUGAGGGCUAACCUUUGCAACUAAGAGUUGACUACUAUUUUGCCUAAUGCCCACAUCAAUUCAAGCUUGUUUUACUGUCAUUGUUUUAUUUUAUUCUUCAAUUCAACCCUCAUUCAUUAGAAAAUGAAAACUUUUAUGAGGAAAAGAAUUUAAAGCAUACUUCCAAUAAAACUCACAAAUAAUUCCAUUUUUAAUUUAUAUUCAUCUACUCAUGAAUAAAUAUGAAUUCUUUUCUCAUGCAUUAAAUUCACCAAUUAAUGACUAAAAAAUUAUUCAAUGACUUGAUUUGGAUCAACAACAUCAACCCAUUAAAUAAACAUACAAAUACUAGGAGACAAAAGCAAGACAACACGAAAUAGUUGAAUGAAAGAGCUAGAGACAUUGUGUAUCAGUUAAAUUACAAUACAUGUUCAUGGAUGUAAAGGAGGUAAGACAUUGUGUAUCAGAGCUUUUACCCCAAUAGCAAGACUCAACCAAAAACCCACCUAGAAUAAUUGUGAUAGAACAACAUGGAUAUAAAAACUAAAUAAAUCUGAGAAACAAACAUAAUUCGCCUUCUAUGCAAUUGCAACAGUAAUCAAAGGAUUCCCAAAGAAAAUAAAAAAUAAAAGUAAAAUUCAAUAAAUGCCACAAAUACAAAUUAACAUGACAUAAAUAAUUUCUUAAUUUAUGUUAAAAUACUAAUUCCAAGAUACAAUUUUUCCUUACAACGAUUUUCACAAAAACUACAUUAUUCAAUUGCGGUUUUAAAUUAAUUUUUUUAAAAGAAUUAAUAGUAAUAAUAAUUAUGUGACUAUUUUAAACAUAAUGUCAAACAUGAUUCUCUAAAAGUUGGCUCAAAAGGGCCCUCUUUACACCACUUAUAACCGAAUAGGAUAUAAAUUUACUACAUUAGAAAUUAAACAAAAAAAUAAAAAUCAAAGUUGCAUGUCAGGGCUAAGGCUCCUGUAAGGUAAUAUUCGUAUAAAACAAGAAAAAUUGAAUUUUGAAACCCCCUCCAAUAACCCCUCGGCCUCUUCUACUUCAACAUUAGAAGUAAAAACAAAAACAAAAACAAAAAAAUCAUUUUAUUUUUAUUACUAGUAAUUGCUCUGCUCUGCUGUGUAUAGUAAUUAAUCAACAGAGUGACCCUAAAUCAAUAAUUCAUUUACAUUUGAGAGACAUCUCUAGCCAAAAGGGGUUCUCUAAAAUGAAAAAUGCUUUAUGAUAUUCCUACAAACCUAUACGCUCCUCAUUGGCAGUGCCAACUGCCGAGCGGAUGCAAUGAGUCUCGCCUUUUUGAUAAAACCAAACCUUCACUUAGCAGGAUUGGGCAUUCAAGUUUCUUAUGUCUGGGGAUCAUGCAAAUACCUAUGCAUUUCCUUUCAAUUGCUUUCCGUCUGGAUUGUUCCUUUGGAAGACUACAUCACCUUGCUCUAUAUGCUCGAAUAUUUGGCAUUUUUUUUUCAGAUAUCUGACAAACACCGCAUACAACCACAGUUCCUAGCAGAUUUUCUGAGGAUUGAGUGUCUCAGGAAGAGGAGCGGAAAUACAUUUGUCCUGAUCUACCAUGACGGAAGUCAGCAUCUGGCGCCUUCUUUGUUCCGGGGCUUUUCUUCUUCAAGGAUGAUGAGAAGAGCAGUAAUGUCAGCAGGGCUCACUCCACCCACUCUACUUGCUUGACCAAUGGUUUGUGGGCGGAUCUGAGAGCAUGCAAACCAAAUAUUUCAAUGGACCAGUCAUGUGAGAUUUCCAAGUACUAAAAUCUGAAAUAAUUGCAGAAUUACAAGUUCAAACCAAUGCAUCAGUUCCCAACAGUUACAGGCAUAAUCUAGAGUAAUCUUGCUGAUCUUUGUUUUUUUCUUUUUUGUUUGUGGCUAGAAAGAAUUAGAGGGAAGAUGCUGCUGGCCAGGACAGUAAAAACUCUUUCCACUCUCAAUUUACCUUCUAUGUGAUUAUGGCUCUCUUAAGUCUGAAGGGAGGAAACAAUAAUCGGAAGGGAUGUGAUACUGCUAGAAAACAAAAUUAAUGGGAAAUACCUAACAAAAGUGAAGUCAAUUAGCUUUAUAGUUCUGUCACCCCCUUUAUGCUAUAGCUCUAAUAUAUACAUACUUGCAAUGCAAAUUCAUCUUAUUAAAAUAAGAAACAACCAAUCAAUUGAAUGGAAAUGAGAUGUAUACAGAAGAAUGAGACAUAUUUCCAAGAUUUGACUAAGAGAUAAAAGGAAUGGGAUAAUUCCCACAAAUCAUCCCUGCAAAAAAGAAGCAGCUCAAGAGUGGAUAUUCAAAACCCCAAAGAAGAUGCAACUUUCAGGCCCUUUAGUAAUGGGAACAAUUCCUCUUCAGUGACUAGAUUGAUCUAGAUGGAGUGGAGAAGAUAUGGAUGGUUUCUCCUAAUGAUAAUCUUUAGUCGUUCUUCCACCAUCCCCAAUGCCUAUCUAAACAUAGAUUUUUUAAGGAGAAGGCAUUAAAAUUCACUUUUAAGGCUGCUAACAGCUAGGCUCACUAACAAUUUCAAGCACGCUUUAGUCUCAAUUCUUAAAAUUUUGCAUUCAGUUGAGAAACCCACAUCAAAUGAAAAGGAAAGAGUGAUAUCUGAAAGAUAGGCAUUGUUAGCAAUAAGGAAGAAGGAAGAAUAAUUUAUCAAGCACUAGCUUCUCCAACUUUGUUUGCAACUAAGAUAAGCCUUGAGCCAGUCAUGUUUUUGCACAAAAUGAUGGAUGGACAGAUUGCUCAUGUAGAAUUUGAAAUUACAGGUUGUUGCAUGUAGUUUGUCAAGGACAUGACGUCAACUGACAGUAUCAGAGGAGUAGGUGAUAUAUAUAAUAAAUGUAGGAGAUUUAGGACUACAGAAGUAUCACAAUAAAGUGUGUCAAGUUCAGAUUCAAUAAGAUGAAUAGAAACGAACUGUUUAGUCAUAACAAAGGUUAGAAGAUACUAACUGAACUGUUUAAAUUGUCUUGGGUACCUCUAUUCGAAGGUGAUUAUGGGGAAGAUGUUGGAUAAAAAACUAGAGCUAGAUGGUUAAAAGGGAGACACGCUCAAGAUGUUUCAUGAGAACUGAUAAUAAAAAUAAAAAGAAAAAGAAAACUCACCUAGCGGUUGGUUAUGCAGAAGAGGGCUGAGGGGUAAAGAAAUAAUUUUCAUAAAUUAAGCAAAGAUAAGACAAAGAUGAGAAAGGUGGAUCAACAGAAAGGUUCAAUACAAGUAGAGAUAAGCAAUAGCUUUUUCUUUUUCUUAUAACCUAAAACCACUUUAUUAUAAACAUAAAUGAAUCAAAAGUAUAUAAUACCCAAAAAAAAAUAUAAUUGUACAAGUAAUGUCUCUUCAUUCCAUCAACAUUUAACAUAAAAAGGAUUAAUGAAUUUUCUCCAUUUGCACUAAUAGAAGAUACUGAUAAUAUUUAUAAAAUAUUUUCUUGUCCAUAUUGCAUGAUGAAAAUUAUAUAUACUACAUACCUUGGAUAGUUUCUCACGAGCCUCAAGACAAAGUCGUCAUUGCAUAGUAAUCCAAGUCCUCUCUGGUAGUGGUCUGUGUUGCUGAUAAGCCAUCUACAAAUACAAUAAGGAAAAAUCUAUGAUAGAUUAAACAGACAAGUAUAUGCCCAGAAAUUUAGACAUGACAAAUUAUUCCAAAUAGGAAAUGAAAGGCAAUAAGUCACAAAAUAUGGAUCAUUCACCUGCUAGAGCUGGCUCUGCUGCAGCAUAAUAAAGCCCUCAUACUUGAUAUCAAUGUCCACACAUUCUUUCUCUAUUUUGGACAGAAGUUCAUUUCCAAAACCAUGUUUAUCCAGAACUUUAUAUUGUACAUGCGGUUUCUUAAGAAUACUCUCCAGAGUUGAGGAGUCCUACACUGGCCGACCAGACAAAUGAGUAACAUCAGCAGCCAAAUCUCCCCCUGAAAGUCAAAAAAACCACAAUAAGCAACUUGGAUCUCCACAAUAUAUCUCCAAGCUCAAGACAUCCUAACUUAUUUUCUUUUAAUAAAUAAACUGUCCCAAGUUCAAUGUUUUUUAUUUUUUAUUUUUUUUAUUUUUCUCUAAUAGGCAAAAAUUCAUGAUAGUAAAUAAGUGCCAAAAAAUAGGGUGCCAACACAAGUGUAUAUUAAGUACACGAAAUUUGUUUAUAGGUGAAAGAGGAAAGAAAAAUAAAAGAAGAGACCACCCUACUAACAUAAUCCUAAAGAAUCAAUGAAAUCUAGCAAGACAAGGAGCCAGCUCCAAGUGACUCUCUAGACCAACAAAAAAGAGCAUAAAUAAAAGAGUCUUUAAGUUAUUGAUCCAAACAGCCCAAAUGAUUGAAAGAUCUACAAUUGUGCUCUUGCCAAAUGGUCCAAAAUAGAUAUAAAGGGGUUGUCCUCCAAACCUUGCUAUACUUCUUUCUAACAAAACUCUCAUGCCAACACAAUAAUAUCUCCCUCCUAGAUUGGAAAAGCAUCCAGGAGAUACCAAAAAUAGAGAAUAUAUAAGAUGCUGAAGGACCCUAGGUGUGCCACAAAGAAUGAGAAUAUGAUGAUCAAUUCUUCCUCACUCUCACACAAACAACCUAACCUGCUAGCAUGUGUCCUCUCCUUUUAUGUAGUUUUAUAUGUAGCAUCUUUUUCCAGUUAGCCUCCUGAGAAAAGGAACUCACUUUUGUAGGAGUGCAUGAAACACAAACUAGCUUGGGAGGAAAAGAACCUCUCUUCUUAGUCUUCAAAGAGCAGCAGAAAUAUUUGAUUCAGAACUUCCUGUUCUUGAUACAGCCCAUAUCAUCUUAUCCUCACCAUCGCUAUGCACCACCACCUCUUGAAUCCUCAAGGAAUAGCUCUAAAGUAUUGAACUCCCAAUCAUGAAACUAUCUCAAACAAGACAAGUUCCAAGGCCCCUACCACUAGAAUUAUCCCAACUAUCAACUACCCAAGCUUCCUUACAAUUGCAAUGGCGACCAAGGAGGGGGAAGGAGACAGUCAGCUAAGAAGCACUAUACCAUACAUCAUGGCAAAAUUGAACUCCUUCCAUCACCCACAGCUAAGUUAGUCCUUACCUCAAAUACAUCUAUCCUAAUCACUUUCUAUUGAGUGAGAGAAAAAAAUGUGCCUUACUCAACGAGAAAAGAGUAUAGAGCAUGUAUAUAGACUUUAACAAAAAAAAAAAAAAAAAAAAGAUUAAUCCACCCUUUACCAAAUAACUACUAAUGACUUUUUAACAUUUAAAGUUUUAAUAAACACAUCACCUGUUGUAAGGAGUUAUCACUUUCUUUCUCAUCACAAUUUCUUUGAUAAAAUGAUAGUCUACUUCCAUAUGUUUGGUUCUUCCAUGAAACAUUGAAUUACUAGCGUUAUGAAUAGCAAUCUGAUUAUCACAAUACAUAAUCAUGGGCUUUUUAAGAGAAAAUCCAAGCUCCUGUAACAGGUUCUAAAUCCACAUUAACUCACACACUGGAUGUGCCAUGGCCCUGUAUUCUGAUUCACCACUAAAUAUAGCCACUACAUUAUGUUGUUUACUCCUCCAUAUAAACAGAUUACCACAAAUGAACUGACUCAUUAUUCUAAUAGGAAAAAUAAUGUCAAGUCUGGUGACUGUCAAAUAAAUGAGCUUGCCCACUAGACUUUGAUGUCUUCUUUUAUCUGAAAACAAAGUUAUCAUCUCCAUUAAGAUUCUUGUUUUGCUCCAUAGGAGUGUCAGUUGGCUACUCCUAAAAUGUCAAUUUUACUAAGCAAGUCCAAUACAUACUUCAUUUGGGACAAAACAAUCUCAACUCUAGCAUGUGAACUUGGCCUAGGAAGUAAUGCAAUAGCCUAAGAUCCUUUGUCUGAAAUAUUUUUUUCAAGUAACCUUUCACUUCUUCAAUACUUGUAACAUCACCAAAGACAAUAAUAUCAUCCAUGUAUAUAAUCGGUACUACCAUGCCAGUGUUCCUCUUGAGAACAAAUACGGAGUUGUCAAAUUUUCAUCUUCUAAAACUAAAUGAUAGAAGAAUAGGACUCGAUUUAUCAAACCAAGCUUUAGGAGAUUGCUUUAAUCCAUAAAUAAUUUUAUUUAGUUUGCAAACUCUAAC
rnacentral:lncRNA from 1 species